rnacentral:lncRNA from 1 species
UAUUUGUUUGCUAAAGGCUUUAUUUUACUGUUAUAUCGAUUGAUCUCUCUCUCUCUCUCUCUGUCUUUUGUGGUGGUAGAACCUUUAGGCAGCGUUUGAUUCACAAAACAGUAAGUACUCCUGUCUUUUGUGGUGGUAGAACCAUUAGAGAGUGUUUGAUUCACAAAACAGUAGAACCAUUAGAGAGCGUUUGAUUCACAAAACAGUAAGUACUAGAUAGAACAAGACAUAACUGUACUAGAGAGUGAUAGAGAGAUAAUACAGGGUGUGUUUGAUUCGCAAAACAUUAAGUGCUGGACAGAACAAUACAAGACAAGACAAGACGGAUAGUACAUGAUAAGAUAGAACUGUACUGGAGAGAGACAGAGAGAAAAUAUAUUUUUAUGUUGGAAAAUAAAAAGGGUAUUUUGAUAUAUUCGAUAGUCUGUACUCUAGACAAAAAGUUGUCUCAUCAUGGUUUAGUGAGGGACAAGAAUUUCGGUUUUUGUCCGAUCCCUAGCUUCCUGUUUUGUCUAGUCCCAUGACCAAUUUAUAAAUCAAAUAGGGUACAAAAAAUGUUGUCCAGUACAGUCCUCUGUUUUUUAGCAAAACAAACGCAUCCUUAGCUUUGUUCUGAUGUCACUUUGGUUUAUGCCCUGGUUCUGGCAGAUUUUGGUUUUGUUUUGUUAAGCAUACAUGUUGCACAUAAAGUUUGUCCAAUUUUCCAUUGAAUUUUUUAGCAUUUUUGUUAAAGAUGAGUUUGAAUAGAACAACCAUCAGUUAUAUGAUUUCAAAGAAGGCUGUUAUUGGUUUGUAACAGGAUUAUUUCUAUUUUUCUCAUAUAAAUAGGAACAUCAGAAGAGCAUUAUCUAUUACCUUACCUAACCAUUCAUUUCUUACUUUAACUGUUUUCAGGUCAAGAUUGCAAUCAGAAAAUAACUUGUCAGUCUCUGAGGAGGUACAUCUUUAAAUGCACUGUAAAGCCUUUUUUUUUUUUACUCAGCCCUUCUGUAGUUUCAUGUUAUCUGACAUACCUGCCUAAUGUAUACUCCCUUUUAUCUAAAGGCCUUCUAUUAUGUGUGUUUGAGUUUUCCCAUUGAGACGAGGAUUUUCUGCAAGGUCAAUAGUUUUUUCGCUUGUGAAUUGAGUUAUUAUCUCAGACAAUUUACUUUUGUAGGUUGAAAAUAGUUUUGGGGACUCGAAGAAAUCUGAGCUACCUGGAUAUGCUGUAAGUUUCAUUUUCCACACUGCUAUAAUUCAUUUUCUAAUCAUUCUUUAGCGAAAUUCUUCUUCAAUGAAGUUUAGAAUGCCAGUUAAUUGAAAUUAUUAUAUGGAAUUUUAUCUUAUUACCUGGCCUAUUUCUUCAUUAUUAUAGGUCUUAAAUACAUCUAAAGGGUCUAUAAUAGUAGAACUGUACAAGGAAAGUGCUCCUGAAGCUGUUGACGAAUUUAUUGACUUAUGGUGAGUACUUGGUUUUCCAACAAAGUUUUUAAUACGGAAGCUGCUUAAUGGUUUGGGUUUGGUUAGACAUGAUGUUGGAGUAGAAGAAAUUGUCAACUUAAGAUAUUGUUGUUCUGUGAUAGACAAUAGGUAGAAAUUCAAUAUUUGCCAGGUGUUUAGAAUACCCAAGUAAUAUUUACAGCACUUUUCUUCCUUUUUCUAUAAUCUUAGCUGAAAUAUAUUUUGGUCAUUGCAAUUUGAAAUUGAAAGUCCUCUCCAAAUUCCAUAACAACAUUUCACAUCAUAUCUUGUGUCUUUGUUAGGCUGGUGUAUGUUGUGCUAUUUUUCAACAUUAUUUUCUCUGUAAAUAAAAUGUCGAUCAAUGAAAGUAUUAUCAGAUAUAUGUAGAGCUUGGUCCAAGUAUUAGCUCGACGCUUUAGUUUCUCUGGAAUAGUGCAUGUUUAACUGGACAUAAUAUAGGUUACUCCACACAAACACUAGCAGAUUAUUAUAUCUUCAACGAAACAUGUCAAGUCUUUGAAAAUUGCUGCAAUAACUAGCAGAAAAACAGCAAUUUUCCUUUGUCAUAUAAGGUGUCGAAUUCAGUUAGAGUAUUAGGAUUAUAAGUGUGGACUUGUACCGUUGUAUUACAUCUAUACUUGAUUGAGAUUAUUAGUAUAUGUAAGAAUACUAGGCCAAUCUUAUAUAUAGCACAAAUUCACAACAUCACAAUCAUUCAAAAUCCUCUUUGUGAAAUCAGAAAUGUGUUCUCUCUUUUCUCUCUAUCAAAUUUGCUAAAAUUUCAACAACAUGAACUGUGUAACAUUUUUUACACAACUUGUUAAAAAGAUAUCACAAAUUUGUACUUUUUUAUAUGGAGGUUACUUUGGUUUACUGCACUUACAGCUUGAGCCAGUAGAAUUGCUAUGUGAGUGUGAACAUUGAGUUGAGUGCUACAACUUUUAGAGUUGCUAUGCUUCUCAGUAUAAUAAUAGUGUUAUAGCAUCCUGAAAUAAACACACCCUCUGGUGGCCGCAAGCGCGGCUUUUUGUGGGUCCAACAACUGCAUGAUACGAAUAACAACUUCUGCAUUUGAUAAUACAGCUUUUUGGGUGGUCUGAUGUUUCUGUCACGUUUUUUGGCAUCAAUUUAUUUAGCAUUCUGUUCAUUAUAAACGGGUUGGCACAUGAAAUUUGUUUAAUAUGAUGCUUUCAACCUAAGACCUAUGAUUUGUUUGCAGUCAAAAAGGGCACUUCAAAGGGAUGCUUUUUCAGCGCGUGAUUAAGCAUUAUGUGAUUCAGGCAGGGGAUGGUCAAGGAACAGGAGCAGCUGAUUGGAACUUAAGAGGAAAGCAACCUGCAAGGUUUUCUUAUUCUUUUGGUUUUUGCAGUUUAUAUAUACAGAUACAGUCAAUCCUGGUGCUGAUCCACCAGUGAGUUGUAUAAUUUUCUAAUAUAAGAUAUCAUGAUGAUUCGCCAGUAUGAAACAUGAAGCAUUCAUGCUUGGAACAUCCAAGGGAAAACACACCAACAAAGGAUUUGAUCUUUUCAUCACAACUGCACCGAUUCCAGAUCUAAAUGAGAAGCUUAUCGUGUUUGGGCAAGUCGUCAAGGGAGAGGAUGUUGUUCAGGUGAUUAACUUAGCUUUAUUAUCAUUGUCAUGUCUGCAAUUGUCUGGAAAUUUGUUUUCCCUUUCCUUUUAUCCUUUCUGUUUUAGUCAUGAAGGUUUUUUCCAUAUCUUUUCUUGUGUUGGCUGUUUAUGAUUGCCAUUUUUCCAUUUAUUUUCAAUCACUAUCAAGGUUAAAUAUGUUGUGCAACACCAAUAUUUGUUGAUUUAUCACUUUAUAUGUAAUUAUGGUUGAUUUUGAAAUUUUUAGUAAUGAAUACAAUAAUGGUUCUAGUAGGUAGAUACCAACACCAUACUAAUUUUGACAUCUGUAUAAAUGGAGUUACUAUUCUGUGAUUGGAUGACGUAUUCGGGAAAAAAAAAUGCACCAAACUGUUUGAAUGUCAGUUAUAAUACUUAUGUGUCUGAGAAAUAAUGGUUUUUAAUAAUAUUACAAAAUGUGUCAAAUCAGUAGAUUUCAAAAUUAAGGUUGAUAUUGAAUAUUACAUAACCCUGCUCCAGGAAAUCGAAGAAGUGGAUACAGAUGAACAUUACACUCCUAAAAUAACUAUUGGGAUACUUGAUGUGACUCUCAAACAAAAGGUCUGAAGGUUCUGUGCUAGAUCAAGAGCACAAUGAGCGCUCACAGUUUGCUUAUAACCUGUUUCGGUGCUCCGGCCAAAUCUUUUGUACAGGGAUGAUGAACCAUGAGAAGUUCACCUGGGGUGCAUCUAUCAAGCUUUUGAGCCUUGAUGUUGUUUUUACUUUUUUAGUUAUGAACAGUGAUGCAGGAAAUAUACAAUCUCCUAUUCUUGCCUCUUUCUGUUACUUUAUAAUUUUUUUUACUUUCUAUUUCAUUUGAUUUUUGAGAAGGAGAGGGGCGGGAUUUGUGUAUGCUUGUAAGAUUGGUUAUAUCACAUUUUAUUUUUUAUUUUGGCAUUACUCUCAUAUGUAGCUUCAAUCAGUUCACAAGAUCAUUUCACUUUGAAGUUCAUUUUUCUGUUGUACUUUAACUGAUGACCAAUUUAGCAGUGAGCCAAAAUGCCAAGUUUUGUAAUAUUCUCUAAUGAUGCUCCAGUUACACUUCCAUUUGGUUAAAUUAGCUUGUAGUUCGGUUCUGACUAGUAUUUUAUUUCUGUUAUAAAUUUGGAGCAUUUAUCAGGUUAUAUUUUUAAGGGACAUUAUGAGUAGCUUAUAUUGAAUUGAUACAUAUGAUAUACAUUUCAAUAAGUAUUUAGAGGAACAUAUAAAAAAACUAAUGACAUAAGUAUGUGUGCAAUGAGCAGAAUAUACUCAAAAUUUCAGACAAAUUUACCACUCCAACAACUUUUCUUUUCUUAGUACGCAUGAUUUUUGUUACAUGAUCUUAUUAAAAAGGAAGGAGGGAGGGCACGCAUAUAGGGGUGGCAUGGUUCAGUUUGUGAUGAAAACUAAACCGAACUGAGCUGUUUAUUAAAUUUAAAAUAACUGAACUAAACUAUUUGCAACCGAAUUGAGCAAAUUUAAUUUAACAAAUUAACAUACUAACACAUGUCAUUAACAAAAAAGAAUUUGAUAGAUAUUACUCCCUCCAUCUAUAAUCUUUGAUAAUUUAAGGUUUGAUCACACAUUUUAAAAACAAUCAUAAAACUGGAUAGAUUUAAACUCUUUUAUCCUUAAUUCACUACGUAAAAAUAAUUGUAUUUAAUGCAUGCUUUUGGUCUUGUAAGGGUAUAAAAAGAAAAAUACUAUUAAUUGCAUAUUAGUUUUUUUUAAGAAACAUUUUGAGAUAAAACUAAAAAGCAGAGAGGACUAAGAGCAUGAAUAUACGCAGUUUUUUGGAUUACAUUUUGAUGAUAUUGAACUUUGGUGAUAUUGAUGGCUUUGUCUCUAUCUCUUCUCUUAUCAAUCUUCUAAUCUCUCAUACAAAUACACUAAUGUUACCUUAUAUCACAAAAACUCAAAGUCAUCCGAGUAUUUUCCUAGUUAUCUACCGUUCCGUUCGUACACCAAAAACAAGGCACCAUGUCGGGCUUCAUUUAUAAUUAUGCUUUGAAGCCAGUUCCUUUUUUCCCCUUCGUUCCUCUGCAUGGCCACGCUUCUUUCAUGCUUUGUUGCAUUAAAAAAUAAAUGAAAACAUAUUUACAUAGCCAACCAAAUACUCUUUUGAUAUAUUAUGGGAUUUUGUGGGACACAUUUUAGUGUUUUUGAUAAGUUGUAUGAACGAAUAUUUAGAAAAUGUAUGUAGUGAAGUUGUUUAAAUAAUUGAAAGCUGUGAAAAAAUAUAAAAAAUUAUGUGGAGUCCAUUUAACUUAUUAAGAUGGGUGUUAUGGAUGUGAAUGCUCUAAAGAUCAAAUACAGAAACUCUAACAAAAACAAGGAUUAGGAAUGAAAAUGUCAUUUCUCUCGAUAAUAUAAAUUAUUUUGUGGAGUGUAUUGCAAAACUGAUCAUUUGAGGUAAGAGUUAAAAAAGUUGGACAUCCCAAAUUCAAGCUCGAAAAAAAUUAUUAAUAUAACAACUAAUUACUAACUUUUAAAAAAAAAAAUCAAUUGUUGUCACUCUAUACGCAAGUAUUAUGUUAAUGAAUUAAUAGAGUGCAUCGAUCUCUCAAAGGUACUAAUUUGCUAGUACUAUGUUGAUUAAUUAAUUUACUAGUAAUUAGUUCAUAUAGUUGUGUAUUCACUAAUCAAGAUAACAUGACCACCGAUAUCAAUCACUUGUAUCUUUUCAUUGCAAUUCUAUGCAUUUGCUUCUAUUUUUACUUGACGAGAAGCAAAUACCUCCUUUAUAUUAUUGUUAUGCCAAAGGGCCAUGUCCAAAUGACGAGCAAGUUGUAGUGUUACUUGCAUAAAUUUGAGGUAUCUUAAGGGUGGCAAGUGUAUUAUACUAUUAGUCUAUGUUGUUGCACCAGAUGUUAUACCUUUUCACUGUCAGUUUUUUUUAGGGAACCUUCUAAAAAUCUUGGUACAAAAGUUUAUUUACGCAGUAUUUAUGACUACUAGAUAAAAUAAAUACAUUGAUUUCCUUUUCUUUUUAGGGAACAUUGAUUUCCAUUUUAAAAAACAUUGUAUUUAUCGAUGAAUUUCUCUAUACGAUGGCCUAAAUUUUAUAGGUAAAUUAUUCUCUAAUAAACUGACAUUAAAGUGAGAUCAACAUGUAAUAUGAUAUGUCCAAUUAACACGUCAUGUCAAAAUCUCUAACAAUAAAAGUUAACACAGGAAUAAUUGUGAACAUUACUAAAAAUUGAUCAAGAAGAAAUGAGCAAUUUUUAAAAAUUAGGGACUAUUUUGAUCGAUGUCAGAAUUUUCGAAGACCAAUAUGUCUAAACAAUUAAAUUACUAGCGAUGACAUGGUAACUUGUGAGAAAAGAAAAGUUAUUGGUGUAACAGUCCAAUGACAUGAUUGUUAACUAAGGUCGUGCCAAUAUAUAUAUUUUUUGGAGCCAAAAUAUAUAUUUUUUGGAUGGACCAAAAAAAUAAACAUAUAUAUAUAUACUCAAAAUUUAUUUUUUAAUAAGCAUUAAGCACAAAGUUGACCAUAAAAAUAUUAAUUGGUAUAUCUUGAAAAUUCAAAAUAAAUAUUUACACACUUUGAUUGACUUGAAAAUGUGAUAAUAAAAGAGAAAUGAUAUUUGUACAACCAUUUUGUGACAACUUUGGUACAACUUUCUCUCUCAUACUCACAUGAUGGUCUUAUCCUCUCUCUUCCUUUUUCUCUCUCCAUUGUUUUUGGCCGAUAAGAAGAAAGAAAAACAAGGUUGUCAUGAAAUGGAUGUACAAAUAUCAUUGCUAUAAUAAAAUGUAUCGAGAUGGAGAAGAGGGUGAGUCGCAAAGUCAUGUUAUUUAAAAGUCAACAAUAUUUUAAUAAUUUUUUCUAUAAAAAAAGUUGAACUUUUUUGUGGGGUGGGCCAUGGCACACCUAGGCCCCAAUGGCCCUCCGCCUUUGUAUAUAAUUAUAGUGUAUUUCAAAAGGUCGAACAACUAAAUAAGUAGAACUAUAGUAGUAGAUUUGGGAUUGUUGAAUUGGGACCGUAGAGUGUGCUCAUCUUAAGGUCUUGAGUUUGAUUUUCCACGAUGCCAAAUUUUGGUGGGAUGAUUUGGCUUUUUAAGAAGAAAAAAAACUAGUAAACAUAAGGGCAUGAUUCAAUUUCUACUUGAAAAAGGCAUAAAAUGACCUUUAGUAAAAAAAAAACAUUUUAAGUUUGUGAGAAGAUCAUUACCAAACAAUUCUAUUACUUAGAUCAUUCAAACUUAUUCUAAGUUUAAAUAUGCUCCAUUUAGACAAUACUUCAUUUAGUACUUUUUAGUAUAAACUAGCGAUUUGGUGGUACCAAAGUCGGUUUUUAACAUCAUUAAUUUAGGUCAAACGUUAAUCGUCUCCAAAACCACUCUAGUUUUUUUCUAAUCUUUUCAUUAAGUUACUUCUAGACAUAUUUGUAUUUUAAUUAUCACAUAAGAGAAGUAUUUAAAUUUUGACGUGGAAGAGUGAGUUUUUGAUUUUCACAUAAAAAAUAACUUUGUUAAUUCAAAAUACAAAAAUGUUUUUUAAUUAUUCAAUCACUAACACUAUAGAACCAUGGGAUAAAGAAUAAAACAAUUCUGAUGCUUGAAAACUCCUCUCACUAUUGUUAUAGUGCAUACAUUUUUCUUGCAACACGCUCAGCAUAAAAGCUUAUCAACUUGAACUUUCUAGAUGCAAACGUACUUUGUAGAACACUACAUGCAUAACUUAUAAUAGUGUUAGUGAUUCAUAAUUUUCUCUUGAAAAGCAAAUAGAAUUCGAAACACUACGUACACAUGCACACACACAUACAAUGCAUAACUUACAAUAAGAGAAUAAAUAACCCUAUCGAGAAGAAAAAGCAAACUAAAUAACCGCAAGAUUAGAAUUUUUUGUUAAGAAUACAGAAUUAAGUAUUAAAACUUCUUGUAAUGAAACUUGUGCAGUAAUUUUUUAAGGUUGACUUCUAUUGGCAGUUCAAAAAUAAGUUUGACUUUCUAGCAUUGUACAAACAAAGCAUACAUGCAAAUCUUCUUCUCCCGAAAACAUCAACAUCAUGAGUGUUAUAAUACAUAUAGAGCAGCCAUUUGGAAUUUAAUUUCUCUCUUAAUAAAAGUAGCCAACAUUUAUUUAAUUUAUUUGAUAUAUAUAUUUUAUAAGCUACCUCCACAAGCACCCAAUUCCUAGUGGAAUUGGACUUGAAAAAAAAAAGUACAAAGAAUCUCACAUCAAAGUAGAAAACACAUCACAAUUUAAAAUAUCAAAUUAUCAAAAGUUCUAUAUCAAUGUAAGAUAACUCUUCCACAAAGAGAAAUAGAGUCAACAUGCUUUUAUUAUAUGUUCCUUUCAAAAAAAAAAAAAAAAGCUUUUAUUAUAUGUUGUGAUUAUAUAAUAUAAUGUAGACAAGCAACCCCCACUAGACCACAAAUUAUUUUAGUAAUUUAACAAUUCUUUUUGGUUUGGAUUUUUCAAUCCCCAAAAAGUCUUAUAAUUUUUUAUAAUUACACAAAAGGUUGGCGUGCAAUAACCACAUCUGAACUUGUCCACAUCCAAGUGUGUUUUUAGUUGAAAAGUAGAAGACUCGUGUUUUCUACUCACAGGUGUAAAGAAGGUAUUGUAAUUGAAAUUUAAUUUCUUAAAAGCAAGAUUAAAAAGCAUGUCAAUGUAGGACAAGAAUGUCACCAUUAUUCUGUUUAUUGGACACCCUUAUCUAAUUUAAUUUGGUUUUAGCCACUAAUAUCAAAGAAUUUUGUCUAUAUUCACCUAAUUUGUUCUUUAUAUGGGAAGGUCGUUGUUUAUGAAAUCUUCCCUAAAUAAUCUAUGUGUCUAAUAAUUUGAAUACUUGUCUUGAAAUUAUUGGAUGAUAGUGAGAAAUAUACCCCCGAUGUUCAUGGAAUCAUAAACCCAUGGACGAAGGCAUGCAUUACGAAAAAUUGAGCACCUACAUCAAAGAGAAUCAAAGUUUAGGUUUAUGUAUGCUCUAUCAUGGUGUAUUCGUGCACCAUGACAUUCCAUGAGAUGCACCAUGACUUAACUAUUAUAUUGCAGAGAGGUAUCAAUAAUGAUCUUUGAAGUAGAGUGGCCUUGCUGCCACGAUCCACUGAGAUUCAACCCUUGUCGUUUUGAUUCGUCCCUAAAAAAAAAUGAUAUUUGAAUUUGGUCUCAAACUAAUGCAGAAGAUUUACAAUUGUUGAAGAUCAUCAAAGUCAUGAUCUGUAUAUUUAUUGAGCAACUUUUUGAACUUUCCCUAAUCUUCACAUAAAAGUCUUACAAUAAAAAUAAUAAUAAUGAAACCACUCACAAAUUCUUUGAUAACUUAGUUUAGUGAGCAAAUUAGAGAUGAAUUUCAUAUUUUUGCUCCCUAAAUUUCUGUUAUUAGUAUAAUUUUGGCAAGUAUUCUAAUUGGAAAGAUGCUCCAAGGGAUCCUUUCAUCUGAAAAAAAUAAAGAGAACCUAAAUGAUUUCUCUAUAUAGCGUAGCAUGUAAUUUCAAAUCUUGGAUAAAAAUAUCAUAUUUUGCAAUUCAAUGGCCCCGUUUGCCACAAAAUAACGGAUGACAUAUAAGAUUGUUGAUAGGUGAUAGAGAAUAAGAUAGUUUUGGUGGUGUCUGGAGCUCGAACUCUGACCUUGCAUAUAUUAUGCAUUGUCCUUGCAAACUAAGUUAAGUUUACGGGGACAAAUAAUAAAGUAGUUGAUUGAACAUAUAGUGUUCAGUGAAAUUAAUGUUUGAACUAAUUUAUAAAUAUGAAAUAAGUUAAAAAAAUGCAUGUUAAAUCAAUAUUUAAUUUUUUCUCUCUCAAUAAGAUAAGAAUGGUAAAAUAAAGAGAGAGAAAAAGAUAAGAUAUAACCAACUUGAAUCAACUUAUAAAAAAAAGCACUCCAUAUACUAGUAAAAUAAGUUGUAAGCUCGUGAGAAAACAAUUGUUAUCAAACAUUUUUUGUGUGGUCAUAUGAGCUUAUAAAGAGCUAGCUUAUUGUGCGUUGUGACAAAUGUAAGGUGAGAUAGAAGUUCCACAUCAGAUGAAAAAGUGAUCUUGCCUCAUUAAAACGAUGGUUGAGAUCAUUUGACCUUUAGAAACUCAACAAUGUGAUCUUGCCACAUUAAAGUGCACACAAACAUGAGUUGGUCAAAGGGAGGGCGCACCCAUGCGUGUGUUCAGUGCAUGUUGGUGUGUGUGUCAAGCGUAUGUUGACACAUGUAAAACGUUUAUGUGGCGAUGAUGUGUACUGAAACAAAAAAUUCCUAAUAUCAAUUAACUUAAGGCCAAACUUGGUUCGACUGGACAACGACGUCACACUUUUGGUGGUCAGCUUCAGUGCGUCAUCACCCGUUUACAAAAUUGCUUACCUCCAAUCGCACAGUAGAGCCCGAUCUCCACUAUAUAAACAUGUUGUGUGUAAACUCUCCAAUAUAAAACUUUAAGGAAUUUUUCAAUUCACACACAAUCAGAUCUAGUAUUCCAACAAAUUUCAGUCACAUACAUUGCACAUGGAAAUUGGUAAUCCGUUCGUUUCUUCCAUGCAAUUCGUAGCUUUCUUCCCUUUGGCACAAGCAAAUUAAUCUUCUUAAGUUACACGUUUUCUUUCUAAAGGAAAGUUACAUUUAAAAGAUCAUAUUGCUAAACAAAUCAAUAAUCUCUCUAUCAUGGUUAAUUAAUUAUCAAUAGUUUCCUAAUUGAACAGUACAAACAAAAAGGACAUAAAUGUUAAAGAAAAGCCACCCAACUUUUCAAUUUAGUGUAUAUGGUCUCCUAUCCAACCUUUAUAUUUUUGCUACUAUUAAAUUAUUAUCUAUUUUGUUAUCAUGGGAUACUUUCGACAUUAAUUAAUUAAUUUUGUUGUAAAGUGAAAUGGACUAUGUGGCUCAGGAACAUCUGUUUGUAGUGGCGUGGAGAUCCUAAAGUUAGCUUUUCUGGUCGAUCGAUAGAGCCAAUGAUCUCUGAGUCACAUAUAAGAUGAAACUAUUUUAGUUUAGUUUAAUUUUUAAAGGAGAAUAUAAAUAUAUAACCUAGUGAUUCAACCACGGUUCCCUUAUUUCUUCACGUACUUGCAUUUGCAUACAUGGAUGUGGGGUGGUAGGUUAGCAAAAAUAAAACUCCUACAUGUAUAUUAUUAUGUUUUACAUAUGCAUUGUUUAAAUUAUGUGUAUCACUCUUGCCAACCAAAAAAAUAAAUUGUGUAGCACAGGCAUACACUUUUUACCUAUAUAGCUUUAUGAUCAAUAUAAUUAUGUGCUGAUGGUGUAUCUAGCAAACUAUUCUAUAUAUUUUGAGGUCAAUGAGGACCACUUAAGUUUUAAAAUAAAUAUAAGGUCUUUAAGAUAAUUUUCUAAAAUCCAAAUAAUUUGAUCCAUUAAAAUAUUUUAAGAAAUCCAAAUAACCAGAAAGGUUAAAAAAAUAAAUAACCAGAAAGGUGCAUAAUUAUAUGUAUUUUACAAACAUAAUCUGAAUAAAUACAUGUAUACAUAAAAAUGAAAUUUAGUAAUAUUUAUACAUGGAGGUUGAGUAGCUCAACUUACUACUAGAAAAACACGAAUUAGAGUCGGAAUUUAGGGAGGAAAAAAAUUUGUAACUAAUUGUGACGGUUUUAAAGACGGAUAUUCAUAUACACCACAAAAAUUGAGAGGACAAACAUUAGUGACAUAAUGGAUUAAUUAUCCGUCACAAAAAUUCCGUCACUAAAUCCCUCAAAAAAUUGAUUAGUUAAAUGUUUGUUAUGGAAAUGAUCCUUCUCAAAUGUUUCCCUCACUAAAACCAUCACUAAUGUCAACUGCAUAGUUAAAGAACAAUUGAAGGCUUACAAGGAGUUGAUCGUGCAUCGCAAUAAGAUUAACGUUUGUUUAGGGAGCAAAUGACUAAAUUUAUGAAAAUGUUUUCUCAAGGUCAUCUAAUUUAUGAAAAUAUUUUGAUUUUGGUUUUUCAAGAACAAUGUGCUACUUCUAAUACCAUUAAAUUUUUUGAAAAGUGUUUGUUAAGAAACUUAUUUUGAGAGUUUCCUUAUGACUUUUAUGUAUUUUAAGAGUGUUGAACAAUGGUUGUAAAUUUAUUGAAAGUAUCCUUGACGUUUAUGUUUUAUGGUGAUGAAUGCAUGUGAUGCUCAUGAAGACAAUUUAUAAAGUGUUUUUUUAUUGUGUAUUUAUAAUUUCCAACAAGUUUCAUAUGGUUUAAUAUAGUAAAUGCAUUUGCAAUAAUAAUAUAAUUAAUGAAAGCUGGCAAGAAAUUAAACAUUAGAUGAGGAAUGCAAAUUUUUGUUUGAAUUUUCUCACUAAUUAGUGACGAAAAUAAAUUGUCAUAAAAUCAUAAGUGUAGUCUGUGAGGGAAUUCAGUUUCGUCACAAUUAGGGACAUAAUAUACCCUCACAAUCUGUGAGGGAAUACCAAUCAGUCAUUAAUUAGUGAUAAAUAUUGGUGAAAAGGAUGGAAUGGUCCCUCACAAUUAGCGACGGAUUUUAUCCAUAUCCAUUAGCGACGGAAACCAAAAUCCCUCACCAAUAUUUAGCAAGGUCAAAAUUCGGAACGGAUUACCGGUCGUCACAAAAUUCGUUUGUGAGAAUUAUAGUAGUUUAUUGACGGAUUUCUACCCUCUCUAAAAUUGAUUUUUCUAGUAGUGUGACAAAGAGAAAAAGAAAAAAAAAAUUGAUAUAACGACCAAUAGUUUUUAAUAUUACAGAAAUGAUAACUAAACACAUAAAUUUAGCCACAAAUACGACACCAGGGGUAAAAUCGUAAUUUCCAUUAAAAAACAUGUGCAUAAUUGGUUUUCCAACAGAAACUGAGGGGUAUUUUCGUGAAUUUUCAUUCAAUUUCUUUCUCUCUCUAAACUUUCUCGUUGUCUUCUCCGAUCCACCUUAUGUUCUCACCACCACUGCAUUUUCUCCAAUCCACCCACUGUUCCACCACCAUACCCUCUUCUUGUUUUAUAGAUCAGGUCCCAAGGAAAGAAAUUUGCAUAGGAGAGAGAUCUGUAAAAGAGAGAGAUGUAGAGAAGAGUGAGAACAGGAGAGAGAUGGCAGAGGACGACUGCCGAUCGUUGUGGGUUUGCGGAGAAGAGAGAAAUUGAGAUUUGAUUUGCAAAUGAGUAUGGGUGGUCGUCGACGGAGUUGAAGAGAUGGAUGGAGUCGACGACGGUGGCUGGUGGCCGGAAGGGGUGUGUUCGAGAGUUGCAGAGACGGCACAAGAGAUGAUGACUUGCAAAGAUGGUGUUGGGAUGGUAGUUCGCAGAUGAAAAGAAGACGGUCUGAGUUGCAGGGAAAAGAUUAAAAUAAAAUAGAAAGCAUAAAUGAAUAAGGAUGUCGUACGGUGUCGUAUUCUUGUCCAAAAACUUGUGUCCAGUUAUCAUUCCUGUUAAUAUUAAGUGAGACUUAAUUUUUUUUUUUUAAUAUAUGAAGUCUAUUUUAUCUGCAUAUGAUGCCUUUAUUAGAAGAUGUGUUAGGGGUCUGCUACAAUAACUUAACUAAGAAGAUGAUGAAGAAGAAUGCACAUAUAACUUUCAAAGCAUGUGUGAGACACACUAACCUUUAGGUUCGGCUCGUUCCCACCAAUUAUGUCAACAAAAUGCAAAAUGGUAUAACGGUGAAUCCCCUUCAGGAUACUUUAAAAUCUUUGACAUGACUUGCACAUUCAUACUAAGCGUAUCGAACAAUGUUAAUUUACAAAACAAAGUUUUGUCGAUUUCUCUCGUGCACUAGAGAAAAGAAAGAAUGAUAUAGUAUUAUUUUAGGCAGUAUUUUGACUCACAAGAAUGUGACAUUCUAUUCUAUUUUUUUGAAUGAUUUUCCUACUCCAAAGUAUAUCUAUUUAUAGAGAAACUUAUGUUUUUUUUUUUUUUUGUGAAGAGAUACAACUCUUCAACAGAGAUUUUGCAAUGACAAGAUGCAGUGAUUAUAUUGGUCAAAUAGUCAAGCAAUACAUCUUUUCACUUAAAUGUCUCUAUUCAAUCAUUGCAACUUUUCAAAUUUAUAUUUUGGAAAUUCCUUUCACAACCUUUUUAUUUGUAAAAUCUAAAGAAAAAUACUUUUUGUUGGUGUGUCUAAAACGAUAGUUGCUUAUAAAGGACUCUUAUUAUGUUUAAUUCUCGUUUUUCAUCUUCGUAAUAUAUUAAAUAAAUCAACGUAGAAUUAAACAUAAUAAAAGUAUUUUAUACUUAUAAACAUAUUUUUUUGAAGGAACUUUUUCAAAAUUUGUGUUGGAUCACAAUCUCACAAAACCGGUUCCACUUAUGUCUUAUCCCUUUCAAUGCCAGACUUUUACUGACUUAUUAUUCAUACAUAAUAUCAAAAUUAAGAGGUUUAUUUUUUUAUAUAAGAAAAUAAUGGUUCACACACACUUUUUUAUAUGUUGAAUAAAUUAUUUCUAAAAAAAUAUAUUAAAUUAAUUAACAUGGAUAUAUAACCAUUGUUUAGUUAGGUCAAAUGUUUAUUUGUUAGAAUCACUAAUGCAUUCAACGAUGUUUGUUCAAUUGGUAAAAGUUGACUCAUAUUUUAUGUUCUAUAUACGUGAGUUCAAUUUUCGCAUUUGUAUAUAUUUUGAUCUAGUUCCCCUCUUUUUGUAUAUAUUUUUCUCAUUUUUUAAUAAAAUUUUAGAGUUUGGCGGUAUAUGAUGGAGGUUUCUCGGGAUACCAACCUAGUUGGUUUGUCGAUGUUUCCUUUUGAUAUAUGUCCUCUCUUCUUAUCUAGUAUAAAUAAAAAAAAAUCUCUCGUAUUUGUGGUUAUAACCUUGUUAGCUGAUAAAAAAUUUAAGAAAAUGUAUCCACUCUCAACAUUUCAUAAGAAAAUGUAUCCACGCAGCCAUGCGAGUGUGCUUUGCGAUCUUAUCUGUUCCUGUAAUUGUGACAUGGUGUUGUAAUUGAACAGUGUGAGAUUAAUUUUUCUCUUCAACCAUGUAACAUCUACGCACAGCUAAAUUCUUGCGGUAGAUAAAGGACCAUAAUAAACAAAUAAAUUCCAUACAACAAAUAUUUUAGUGCACAUAUAAUUUUCAACACUAGAGACCGGUGAGUAGGUAUAAAUAUUCAAAAUAUAAUUAAAAAUAUAAUUAUAUAUGUAUUUGUAAAACCUCUCAACAAAGUUUUUCCAGGUAAUUACAUAGCAGAUACAUCAUACAUGUGCUCCGUUCCAAAGUUUUUCCAGGUUGUUAUAUGGAAUGCGAAGUUCAACAAGAUUCCAUGGAGAAAAAUUUGAUGGUAGAGAAUUUAAUGGAUACGCAUUCCAUUCAAAGCUUCUCAAAUUGUUAGGCAAAAAAUCAAGACCCCCACAAAGAUGCACAUAAUUAAUUCCCUUAACAUCUUGAUUGUGGCCUUCGAAAACAGGUAAUCUUCGGUUUGACAUAUUUGUAAAUGCUUUAGAGCUCAAAUUUAUGCAGGUAAAUUUGAGCCAUUUCUAUGCAUAUGCUUUCAAGUGCACUACUCCCCUAAUAAAUGAAAAUUAGAAUCAAUGUUAAUACUUUGUGGUAAGUUGCAGUUAAAAACACACACAUACAUACAUGUUUUUUGGAAUGCAAAGCUAUAUAUCAUUCAUACAUUAUUGUUUGUCAACACAUCACAAAUUUCGCUAGCAUUCCACAAUCUACUGCGUUUUCCAGGGUUUUUGAUAGAUUCUUCCCGAACAAUUUGCCUAUCCAUUUCUUGUAUCAAGUCAUGUAUCUCUAUGUGACUGUUUAAAGUAAUAGUUACAAGAGCCUUGUCUAACAAGUUUCUUAUCCCAAUAUCUGCAAAGAAACCAUAGGCAUUUAAUAUUUUUGUUACACUGCUGCUGCUAGAAAUAUAUUUUUCUCUGUAUCAUCUAAUUCAUCAUAACUUAAUCUCAACACCUUUUGAAUUUCAGCAUUGGAAAUUUCCUUCAGUUUAUUUAGAGCACUAUCCCAUUCUUUUUUACUUUUUGUACGAAGAAAUGAACCCAGAACUUUCAAAGCCAAAUGGUUGCCUUUUGCAUAAGAAACUACAUUGUUUGAUAUUUCCUACAAACAUUUUUGUAAGAAAUAAAUUAAAGGGAUAAAAUUUCAGUCAUACAUGAGAGUUUCAGUCCAGGACCUCCAACUACUGAUUUCUUCACACACACGCGCGCGCACGUACAAGUUUUGAUAUAUGAAACAUUUUUUAUUUGCAUAUGAGGUUUUACUAGCAUUACUUUUGGAUCAACACACACACACACACAAGUUUGAUAUAUGAAACCUUUUUUAUUUGCAUAACUCUGAUUAUAGGAUACAUGUAUGGUAAUAAGAAGGCAAGUUGAAUGCGAGUUUUGCCGCUCUUUCCCAAACCCUCUUGUAAAAAUACCUACAUAUUAUCCCUAUUUAUGACAAUGAAUCUUGACUCAAUUUAUAAUGAGUUGACUCCUACCAAAUAAGGGUAUGAAUUCAAUUCUUGUUGCCAAUGUGAGGACAUCUUUAAAGGAGGAUAUGUAAAUUCCUAUGCUAGUGAUCUCUAAUCCUUGAUGUCUGCUCUAGCUCUAGUGAGCCUCCAAAAUCUAAUUCACAUAAACUUUUCUUUAUAAAUAAAAGAUUUUACUUUUUUUUUUUUUUUUUUUUUUUUUUUUUUUACUAUCUCAUCUUAAAUUUUGUUGUAGGCCUCAAAUAUAGAAGAUAAAAAGAGUUUGGUUUUGUUUAUGUAACAUGUUUGUCGAAAGUUAAAACUCACUAAGAAAUUACAUCCCUUCGACUAAGUUGGAAGAUAUCCCUUACCAUCUCAUCCAUAUAGAUGAACUAAAACUAAUUUAUAAGACUAAAUUAUCAUAUUAUAAAUUUGAAGGAUUAAAUUAUCCAACCCUUUUAAUUUUUCAAAGAUCGAAAUAUAUGCCAUUUGAGAGAGAUAAAUGUAAAUAUUUUUGUAAGUGUUCUUUGAAUUCUAAGGUCUUCGUUAUCUUGAACUUAGAUACCAUCUCUCCGGUCUAAAUUUUAAUUAAAAAAUAAUUAAAAUACAUAUUAGAUGAGAUGACACGGGUCUCUUAUAGUUUAACUAAAGUCAUGGUUUCAAAUCCAAUCUUGAACAUGCAGCAACAUUAACACACUUAAAGAGAGCUUGCCGCCCAUUUAAAUCCCACAAGACUCAAGUGAUUAGUCUCCACAAUUACGCACGAGAAGGAUACCUGAUUUGAAAAACAAAUAAUCAAUUGGGCCUAAUAGACAAUUCUCGCAUCUCAGCCUUAUUAUCUCUACAAACUUCAAUCCGAAAAAGAUACGACACACAAGAGUUGAAAAUCCAAACGACAGUGUUUGUUGAUUAAAAUGUCCUCAACCAAUAAUUAAAUUAUUGAUAUGCUUAGUUGUCAAUCCAAACAUGUCAUAUAUAGGAACGCAAAAACAAAACUCAUUUUUGGGCAGUUUGAGAUGGGAAGAUAUAUGAUAGAUGCUUAAUAUGGCUUGUUCUCGUGAGCUUAGUUCAGUUGGUAGAGACAACAUAUAAUAUAUGUAAGGUCCAGGUUCAAAUCCCGACCACCAUAAAAGAAUGCUUAAUAUAGGUUAUUAAUACUUGGCUUUUAUAUGUGUUUAUUCCCUGCAAAUAGGGGUCAUUUAAAAAUUGGUCCCUGUAUUCUUUAAUCCUGACAAUUUGUCCUGCCAAAAUUUAAUCAUUUAAUAUUUCGUCUCUCUCCCCACUUAAUCACUACCACGUCACUAAUUACAGGGAUAUUUUUGUAAUUUCAUGUUUGUAAUUUCAGCGACGUGGCAUUAAUUAACUGGGCUGAGGGACCAAUUUUGAAGUGAUUAAAUUUUGGUAGGGCAAAAUGCCAGGAUUAAGGAAUACAGAGACCAUUUUUUAAAUGACCUUUAUUUGCAGGGACUAAAGACACACAUAUGAAAGCCUUAAUACUUUUUGAAGCAAAAUUGAUUUGAAAAGGUUCGAAAGAGAAAAGAACACAACCAAGUUGUUUGGGCUCCACUGGCAAGGAGCUCCUUACAAUGAUGUACCCUGGAAAUACCGAGUUCGACUCCUAGGGGAACAAUGCUUGACUAGUACACAUGUCUCUAUAUACGAGCCGGAUUAGACGUUCAUAUUUAGUGGAUCGGAAACCGGUGCAAAGUACAUUCAAAGAUCUUUAGAUGUAGGUUCAUCAAAGUAUGACCUUCUAUAUCCUCGUUGAUAAUGCAAAUUUAAGAAAUUGGAUUUCAACUGAGUUGUGUGUAAAGUUUCCUAUGGCCUUAAUCUACGUGCAUCCACGGUAUCUCCUCCUCCUCCAGAAUCAAUUCCAAUGUCUUCCAUCUCAUCUUCCUCUCAUGACGAUCUUCACCUUAGAAAUGAAUAUUUUCAACUACUCCCUCUCUUUUUGAUAUGACAAAGGGGGGAAUGAAUUAAGGAGCUAAAUUUAGAAAUUUGAGAAGUAAUAUUUUGUGUACUCUAGAAAUGAAUAUUUAGAAAUGAAAUUUGAGAAGUAAUUUAGAAAUUAAUAUUUUCAACCACACGAUCUAAUGUUUGCUUAUUUCUCCUACUAGUAUUUUAAUUUCUAAAUUAGGAUUAAUUGCUUUUUAUUUUGUUUUAAACCAUUUGAAUAUUCAAGAAAAUCAUUUGUGAUGUAAUUUAUUUAGUAUGAAACUAUGAAUGAUAUAUUAUGGUUCAAGUAAAUCACAAGUUUAGUUACUCAAUUUGCAUUUUAAAACUUUAAUAUGAUAUUGAAUGCUAAAAUUUUAGGGAGAGCUCUUUGUUAAAAAUAUACAAAUAUUGUUACUGAUUUGCUUAAUGAGAAUCAUAAAUUAAAAUCUAAUUCAACAAGUUUGUCAUCAUAAAAAAUAAGAGUUGCUGAGGUAAAAUUCCAAUUUUAUAAUAAACAUUUGAAGAAUAUUUUUAAGACUGAUAUCUAACCUGUACUUUUGAGUGGUUUAAUUUAUAGACAGGUUCUGAUUAUGAUACAAGCAUCUCAUAUUCGCGACAUAAUUUAAUCCAUCUUUGUGACAUGAUGCAUCCCUCUAAAUUGCGAUAGAUUGAUAUUUUGUAACAAAAUCCAUCACUAAUUUGUGGUCAAAAUCAAUAAUUAUAUGUUAUGUUUUCGUUUGGUAUUAGUGAUGGAAGAAUUAAGAGUUUGUUUGAGUUCAAGUGGUUAAUGAGUUCCACAUAUGAUGAAUUGUUUAAGAGAAUCUGAAUUCGAUUUCUGAGUGAAAUAAUUCUAUUAUUAACCAAACUUUACUUAUCUUCUGAUCGAACUCCAAAUUAUCAAGACUAUUUCCAUUGAGAACUAGAGGGUUAACACAACCAAAAAAACUAAGAGUUGUCUAAUAUGAACCUCCUAAAAAAGGUUUAAAGUUGGACAUUUACUAUUUUUAGCAAAAGAUUGAAUUUUAUAAUAAUAAUAGUAAAAGGAAAAAAAUGUGUAAUGUUUUAUCAAAACUUACAAAAAUCGAAUUUUUCUAGAAGUCGAAAUUUUUUGGUGGAAUCUAGAGAUCAAUUUUAGAUUAUGUCCAUCUAAAGUCGAUCAUUUCCGUUUAGAGAUCGACUUUAGAUAGACAUGAAAAACUCAUAUAUGUGAGGAUACAAUUAUGUCGCAAUUGGCUAAAAUUUCUAGAUCUCCUAGCUAAAUAUUUAAUGUCCAACAUCCACGGUUUUGUUUAUGUGGUUACAUUAAUUAGUUUGCGACGAAAUUGUGUUGCUUUAGCGACAAAUCACAUACCCUAUCUAAAUUUAGUUUUUUUUCUUCUUCUAAUGGAGUGGCCAAUAAUAAAUAGUUUCUUUUAAGGGAUAAUAAAUAGUUUCUUCAAAAAAAAAAUAGCCAAACACAAAAGCUAUCGGAAAAAAGCCCAAGGACCCAAAAAGAUCCCCGGUCACACACAAAACCAACAAAAAAUGAAGCCCAUCCCAACACGCCAACAUGAGAAAUAAAGACAAAAAACACCCACAUGACAGAAGAACCUCGAAAUCCUGGAACCACCCAAACCCUCAAAGACAUAUAAGAUCCAUAUGUGUCAAACAACAUUGAACCCUAAAGGUGUCAACGUACAAAGAAUUGGUUGUCUCCCACUCGUAAGGGGAGCCGCGCGAUGCCUAGAGAAUUUACCAAAGAAUCACUCCCAAGAAUGAAAAAUAAUCCAAUCAACAUGUUGCUGCUCAGUCUCGAAGUUACUUCUUGAGAAAGGUCAUUACGAACUUUUCAAAUAUACCACACAUUCGCAUGCCCUAGCUCUCCUCCUAUAUACACCUAAAAGAGAACACACCAACUAAAUGUUAAGAACUCGGACACUGCAUAUCAAAUGCUCAUACACGACUACCAUAUUUGAUGUACUGAUUGUGUACUCUUUUUUUUUAUCCAAAAGUACUAAAAGUAAAUGAAGAAAGAAUAUGAGGAAGUAUACAUAGUACAUUUUUAUUUGUCUAAAAAGUAGUGAAAAUUUAACAUGGUUGGUUAUUAUAAAGUAAAACUAGCAGCCCUAAACACCGUAGUAGCAAACUUAAGCCAAACCCAUGCUGGCCCAUCAACUUAUAUAAUAAUUACCCACGAACGUUAGUGGAAAAACUCGGUUGCAUAUUUUAUUGUCUCCCCUAUAAUUGUUAUAACCUACAAAUACUUAUACGUCACUUAAAUUUGAGCAAUCUCAUCCAUAAAUUCCCACCCCACAAGGCCACAACAACGAUUAAAGAAACAAAUUAAGAGAGAUUAUACAUACAUAUACACUCCUACUUAGGUCCAUUCCACCAAUUAAAGGAAUCACAAACAAGAAGAGAAAAAUAAAAUAGCUAGAGAGAAAUACAUAAAGAUGAGUGAAGAAUGUGGUGGAAACACUAUUGCUACCUCUACUACUCCAUUAAACUGGUGGUAUCUUCAAGCAAAUUCUCUUUCUUCUAAUUGGAAUGAUGUUAAACAUGCAUGGAACAACCAAAUGAAUAAUCCAAAUUCUUCCUCUUCUUGUGAGGAUCAAGAUAUAUCAGUUUCUUCUACAUCUUUCACCAAUGCAUCAAACCAUUCAAGCCUCACUGUUGAAUCCUCUCGAAGAGUAUUCGUCGAGCCGCAUGCACCACCUUCCUCCAACGACUUCAUGGCCGAACAUGCUUCGGAUAACCAACUAUGGAGUCAUGUUUUAUCGUAAGUUUCGUAAAUUGUUAAUUAUUACAAUUGUGCUAUAUGUUAUAAUGAAAACUAGUCUCAAUAUCACGAAAUAAUGUGCGUUAGAAUUUCAGUACAAAGGAAAAAAAAUUCAUAUGCUAUUGACUGAAAACAUGGAUCUGUCCAAUGAUAUUAUUUUGUGACACUUCUUAAUGGAACCCCUUCAUGACAGUAAACAAUUUCCUAAUUAUUAAUAAAUAUCUGAUGUUUUUACUGCUAUAUAUUAUUGAAACUGGCAAAAAAUUUUAUUGCUAUAUAAGAGACAAAUCUUUUACAGUUUUAGGUUAGAAAUUUUGUGAAGUUUAAGGGUGUUUUAAGUUAGGUAUAUAGGGUUAAAGUAUACGAUGGUUUUUUUCAGUGUGAGUAAAUAAUAUUCUUCUAGGCCUUUGCUUUCCACUAUCUAUAACAUGCUAACAGCUGUUAUGUGCACUAUAAUCAGUGUUUUCACACUAUGCAACAAUGAUCUCUUGUUUAUCCAUCCACAUACCAAUAAAAACCCUCUUGGAUUCUGUAAGAUAUAUAAUUAAAAAGUAAAUUUAUUAUAUAUUUUAGUAUAUAUACAGCUAAUUAGCUUUUUGUUUUGAUAAGAAAUGUUUGUAUAUUUUAAUUACAACUAAUUUACUUUCUUAUGUAAAAUAAUUUAUAGAGGUGUUGAUUCAAAUGGAGAGUUACACAACAACCAAGAAAUUGGAGAGAAUUUCUUGGAUGGACUAUCAUCAAAAACCAUGACAAACACUAUGUUUGAUGAACCAGCUUGUGACUAUUUGAAGAAACUUGAUACAACAAGUUGGGAAUAUAAUACUAGUGGUUCAACUUCAUUCAAUACUAAUUUUGAGAAGCACUUAAAUGGGUACAGUGAAGCUCUUAUUGAGAAUAAUGAAAGGUUGACAAAAUUAUCCAAUCUUGUAAGCACUUGGUCUAUUGCCCCACCUGACCCUGAAGUUAGUAGCCACUUUGAUUCACAAACAAAUAACAAUUUGUCUACUAAUUUGAAUAAUUCUAAUUCGUCCAAUAUGGAUCAUAAUCACUACACACAUGAUUCUGACCCUAAUUGUCAUUUCAAACUACCUUUUGGUGAUUCCACAUCAUGUACUAUUAGAGAAGGAGUAGGUAAUAAAAUGUUCCCUAGUUGCCUUGAUAUUCAAGACAUGAAUAAGGUUAAGGAAGAAUAUCAUCAUCAUGCAAGUGAAGUGAUGCAAGGACAUGUAUUUAGAAAAUCACUUAAUCCAAAUGGAUAUCUUGAUGGAUUUAACUCAGUGGGAGAUCACAAUGGCAAAUUUUAUGAAGGGUUGCCAAAUAUUUCACCAUGCACCAAAAAUUUCUCAGAUGUUAUAUCCUUUAAUAGUAGGCUUGGAAGGCCAGUUGUUGGAAUCCAUCCACAAAGGCCUAAUAUGAGAUACUCAAACUUAUCUGAGUCAAAGAAACAAGGGCUUCAAACACCAUCACAUGUGAGUUUUUUCUUCUUCUUUUAUAGACAAAUUUUAUUUGUUAAUUUGUUUUGUUAGCAGCAUACAAAUUUCACUUAAAAUAGUGAUGAUCCAUCUUUAUAUCCUAUAUUUUUGAGAGAUCCAUAUUUUUCUAAAACGGUAAAAUUUAUUAAUAAUUAAGUUUCUGCACUAGACGAACAGAGACCUGUAAAAUAUAUAUGAGACAAAUCCGAAAAAAUAUAUGAAGUAGCGACAAAAAAUUUAAAAAGAAAUUUUUAUAAUGUAUUUGUCUCUAUAAAUUAGACAUGGAAAUUUAAUUAUUUUUGUUUCUAAUUUCUUGGUUGAUUUAACUUUUUUUAGUAUGGCAACUAAUUUCUAUUCAAAAUUUAGAGAAAAAGUCAUGCUAGCUCUGACAUUAUUUUGUCAAAUAAAAUGUGUAUGCAAUUAAUUUAUGCAGAUGAGAACCACUAAUGGAAGAGGAGAGGGAACAACACGUGAAGUAAAGAAGAAAAGAUCUGAAGAAUCAUCAGAAGCAAGUUUGAAAAAGCCUAAGCAAGAUACUUCAACAACAAAUUCAUCUUCAAAGGUACAUAAAUAUAUUUAUUAUAUAUUAUGUAAUAUACGUACCAACAUGAACUAAUUAUGAGUGUAAAAAAGUCAUAUAAAGUGGGGGAAACCUUUUUAUUUUGUGUAUUAAUGUAAAUUAAGAAACUUCUAUUGAUUGUUUAAAAGGUGCAAGCACCUAAAGUCAAGCUAGGAGACAAGAUCACAGCCCUUCAACAAAUUGUGUCUCCAUUUGGAAAGGUUACUACAGAAUGCACUAAUCCCCACACCCUCUUCCCUUUUUCAUUCCUAUCUUUUUUGUAUAAAUAAUUCACAGUGCUUUUACUUUUCUCACUACCUACUUCAUAAUAAUCAAUUUAUUUUAUUUUUCUUUGUUGAAUUUCAGACUGAUACAGCAUCUGUGCUGUUUGAAGCAAUAGGGUACAUAAAGUAUCUUGAAGAACAAGUCCAGGUGUGUAUCAUUAUGGAAAAGUUCCCAUUCAUUAUGCAUUAUAUGUAACUAUAUAGUAUAUAAUAUACAUUAUUGUUGCUUUUCUCCUCCUUUUCAUUUUUAAUUAAUGCCAAGGAAACUUGACUUCUAGGAUUAUUAGUUCUUUAUCAAAAUGAAUAAACUAACAACAAUGCUGUGUUGAGCGAUUACACAUUUUCCAUGAAUAUCUCAUGAGCUUCAUCAACUAUAUAAUAUAAGGAGAUUUUAAAUAACACCUAACUAAAAUCUAAUUAUGAUUAGUAAAAAUAUGUGCCCCUGCCAGUAUGUUAAUCUUAGCUGCAACAAAUUACAAAAUUGUAUACUAUUAGUAGAUUAAAAACAAAACAAAAUGAAAAAUAAAAAUUUUAUAGGGACUAAACAUGUUUAACCAUGUACCAAAAAAAAAACAUAUUUAACCAUAUAUACUUUAAGUGAUUAAAGAUGCAGGUUUUUUUUAUCAUAACCCUUCCAUUCCUAGAAAAUGGCCUAUAUAAUACAUGUUCCGGCCGGAAAGUAAGUAAAGUCUGACAAAUAAUCAUUUUAAGUCAUAAUUUGAAACCAAGUUUCUUCUAAACUAUUGGUAUUAAAGGUGCAGCUUCAAACACAAACAGUUCAACUAUAAGUAAUAUAAUCAUCUUUUUCUUCAUUAUAUACAAUUAACAGUUUAAUUUAUCUUUAAUUAAUUCUUUUUACGUUCAUAAUUAUUAUGCAGUUACUGAGCAACCCUUACUUGAAGGCAAAUUCACACAAGGUAAUUAAGAAAUUAAUCUAUAUAUAGAUAUCUCUAUUAAGUACUUUUCAAAAUUAAAUUAUUCUCUCAAAAUUUCACUCUUAAUUAGAGAUGAUUAACAUAAUAAUUAAUCCAGGAUCCAAGGGGAAGCUACUUCGAUAGAAAAGAUAAGGAGGAUGCAAAGCUAGACCUUCGAAGUAAAGGUCUUUGUUUAGUUCCUACUUCAUGUACCCCUAUAGUUUAUAGAGAGAACAAUGGGCCAGAUUACUGGACACCAGCGUAUAGAGGAUGUAUGUAUAGGUGAUUAAUAACACAUGCAUAUGACUUAUGCCAAAAAUAGUAUGUGGUUGUAUGUACUAUAAUCUUGGAAAUUAUAAGAUCUCGUCAAUAAAUCAUAUAUUAUCCUGAAUGUAACUAUUUAUUUAUUGUCUUGAUGUAAUGCCUGGUUACACGAGUAUACACAUUUUAGUUGACCUUCAAACAAGGGCUAGUACUUAGCAUUAUUGAUUUUUCUUUUUUUAAAGUUCUCUUACUAGAAAGAAUGUGUUUUUCAUACUAAAAAAUUACUUGAGUAAAAAAAACGAUAUUAAUAAAAAGACUCUUAAAGUAAAAAUGUUUCUCUCAGUGAUAUAGACAAAAGAUGCACAUUUUACCAAUUUAGCUCUCCAAUUACAAACAAAUUAUUAACAGUCACAAUUGUUGGAUGAUGUAAAAAUUUGACAUUAACUAAUGUUUUUUUUACGGAUUAAUAAUUUUUUUCUACGAAUAUAUAUUCAAUUUUCAUUUUCUAUAGUUUUAUUCAAAUUGCUAACGAAGGAAAUGAAACACUCAUGUAAUGUAUAUGUGUGAUAGGGAGAAGGUGAUAAGCAAACUAGCUAGGAUGAAUGUAUUUUCAAAAUCAAUGAAAAUAAUGUUUAGGCACUUUCAAAGUUUAUCAAAAAGUUUUAUAUGUUUUAAAAAAAAUGUAAAAGAAGAUUGUGAUGAAAAUAUUCUUUUAUGUUCAUUUGUUGAAGUGAAAAUAAAAAAAAAUAAAAUAAUAUUUAUUAGGUAUAAUUCAGAGUAUAAUUAAUCUCACAUUGAGUCUCUCAUUAGUUGGUUAGUCAAAAGAAUAUGAAAUUCAUUUUAUUUUCUAAUCGAAAAUUAAUUAUAGCGAAGCAAUUAGAUAAUUCACACCUAUAAUACAAUCUUUAAUUUUCUAAUAGGUGUAAAUUCUCUUAUAGGUGUGAAUUAUAGCAAUUAGGUAAUUUUCUAAUACAUACCUAUAAAAUUAUCUAAUCUAAUUGUUAUAAGAAACUUCUAAGGUACACUCAGAAAGUGAGGUGUACCGGUACUCAUGCUUCAUAAUUUUAUAAAUUAACGAUCAUUUUUUAUGAAAUAAAUAGUUAUUUGUUAAUAUUAAUAUUUUAUAGAACAUCAUUUCAUAAGAAAAAACAUCAUUUCAUUGUUUAUAAGAAUUAUAAUAAUUUUUUUUACAUAUUAUCAUAAAAAAUAAUCAAUGUUCUCAAUUAUGAGUGAAAAAAAUUCAAAAAAAAUUAAUUUUAUUUCGUUGACACUUUUGAUAAAUAAGAUUUAAUUAUUAUAAUUAUAGAUGAUAAAAAAUAAUAUUUUUCUUUAAAAAAACAACUCAUUUAACUAUUAAUUUAAAAAAUGAGUAUACCAAUACACUCAAAUAUAUUGGAUGUACCAUAAAAUUUGCAUUGUUAUAAUUAUCUUAUACCGAAGUAAUUAGAUAAUUCACAGGUGUGAAUUUUUUGAUGAUUGUAUUAUAAGUGUGAAUUAUCCAAUUGCUUCGCUAUAAUUAAUCUCCACCUAAAAUUUCACUAAUCAACUUUAGUUGAGUCUCUCUUCUCAAUUACUACCUUCGUCCUAAUUAUAAGACUCUUUUGAAAAAAUAAUGGGAAUUAAGAUAGUGGAUAUUUGUAUUAAAUAUGUUUGUAAUUACUAUUGUUUUUACAAUUUUAUCCUUUAAGAAAUAGGGUUGGCUUAUGUUUUCAACAUUUUAUUUAUUGCUGAUUGAAGAAAAAGAUGUAUAAUAAAUAGGGGCAUGUAUGUAAAGAAAUAAUUAAUGUAGUUGGAAAUAGAAAAGGGGUCUUAUAAAAAGGGACAAAAUUUUUUUCUCAAAAGGGUCUUAUAAUUAGGGACGGAGGUAGUAUGUUUUUUUUUCUUCAUCCAAAAAAACCCUUUUUAAAGUGAAAUAUCAUAGAGUUAUUUAUUUUUUCGCAAAGGACUCACCAAAUAAUGUAUACAUCACCUCAAACCCUAGUCGUCACCCUUUUCUUCUUCUUUUCAGAGGGGUGAUUUAGGGUUAUUUUUGACACAAAAUCACCCCUCCGAAUUGUUUUUUCUUCUAUCAUAAUUAAAUAACUGAUUUCACAUAUUUUCAGUUUUCUUUCGUUUGAUUUGUGAUUACGUCGUCUCUGAACGACUCUGUUUGUUUUGAUUUCCCGUCUUUAUCCGGUGUGUUUUUGAUUUCCCAUCUUAGUGCGGUGUUUAUUUGAUUCAGGUUGAAAGAUUAGCUUUAAGCAAGUGCAGAUCCGAUCAAUGACAAUGACUUUGGCGUCGUCAACGUUGCAGAUUCGGAGACAUGAGUAUUCCGGAGACAUGAAUAUAGUCAUAUUAAUUAUAUUUGUAGGCAUAGGUACUUUGCCGUUUUAUGCUAUUAACAUGGAUGCUGUGAGUUUGUUCACAGAUUCAUCCUUUUUAUUUUUAGCAAAUUUGAAUUUGUAUUGUAUCGAUGUACUCUAUCAAUUUGAAAGAAUGCAUAUUGUUUAUUUUUGUCAAAAAAAUAAUAAUAAUGUAUACAUCACCUUAUACCGUAAGAAGCAUAAAAGACACUCAUUAACAAAAUAUUUGAAUAAGAAAGCAUAGCCUGAACUAUAUAAGCUUUGGAAAGUUAAUGAAAACAAAAUAUAGUUCUCCAAAUCUAAAAACCAAGCUGAUUAAAAUUGUUGAAAUUGAACAUUUGAGUUGACUCUAGUGUUUGUCACGAUCAAUUUGCAAGAGAAGGACCAAAUUUGACAUGUAAAUCAAAAUAUUUGAUAAAAGAAUUAGUGUGCAUGUUCAUCACCUGAUGUACAGAGAAAAAUACUAAAUAAAUUAUAUAUUCAUGGAUGGUCAACUGAGAGUUAGCUAAGUGUGCAUCACAUUAAAAACUUUUGUAAUAUAUUGUAACUUUUUAGGUUAUUGUCACUAAUUCUCAGUACUUUAGAAUAUGUGAAAUUGUAGAUAGAUUCUUCAUAUAUAUAGAAUCUUCAUACAUAAAAGGUUCACACUCCAUUUUAUACUCCUUAAAUAUGGUAUCGUUUUUAAUUUUUUUUGUAUAAUCAGUAGAAUCAUAUUAUUAAUUGACUGUAGAAAAACAAAACCAUAUAUGGUGGAACAGCAUGGAUGGUUUUGAACAUGUCCACUCACUAACAUUGAACGAUUUAGGAUGAUUUAAACAAGUAAAAGAUGGGAUUGAUUCUAGAAGUAGAGAGAAUGACGUAUUGUUAAGUGCCAAUGAGAAAUUGGUCAAAGGGGAGAUGAGCAAAAAAGCCAAUUGCAAGGUUGGUGGUGCACUCAAACAUAGAUCAGUCAUGCUUCUUAUAAUGACAACCAAGACAAACACACCACCCUCACAAAUCCUCACAAUUUUUUUGGAACAAAAGUAGUUUUUUUUUUUCAUAAUCCAAAUAUAUGGAAUUGAUAUAAUGAUAUAAUUCAUUUCAGUAAUUUUGAAAUUGAUAGUAAUUUCAAAUUUUUAGAAACAUCACUCCCUUCUUUUUCUCUUCUCCUCUUUUCAUCUUCUUCGUUCGUCGAUAAGGAGUGGUUUAGAAUUAAUUUUUUUUGGCAUAAAUCACUCAUCUAAUUAAUUUUUCUAUCUUUUUAUAUAAGUGAUUUUUCGUAUAUUUUUUUUUUUUGUGAUUUUGUCAAUUUAGUACGGCCUAUUAUUUUGUUUGCCAUCUUUGCUGCUAUGUUAGUUUGUUUUUUCGUUUUGUUCUGGUGUUUAUUCUAUUUAAUUGAUAUAUUAGAUUUGAUCUGAAAGCAUUGAUAUCUCAAACACUUUAAUUUUAUUGCAUUGAUAGGCUUUAUCAUAUUUGUAUUUAUAUUUUUCUCAUUUUCCUUAUGUUCUGAGAUAGAAUAUCAAUCAUGGCAAUUUGAAUUUUGAAAUGAUAGGAAUUGAUAUUCACUUUGGCAAUUUUGAAAACUACGGAAUUGAAUUUUGAAAUAAUUUAGAUCUAAAAGAGUUGAUAUUUUUUAACCUUUUUUUUUUUUUUUGUUUUUUUACCUAAAAAAAUAUUUUUUUUCUACAUCUUGUUCGUAUAAGGAUAUUAAUUUAUUUUAUAGACUAAUAAAAAGAUUAACAUCCUUCUUCUUCUUCAGCCUACAAACUAGUUCAUCACCACCACCGACAACCUCCAUAACACUGUUAAACGUUUAAAUCCAACAUCAACAAUAGCAAACAACACCAAGAACCAUUUCCUUCCAAUAAACAAACACAAACUAAAAAUUCUUAUUCAUCGUCAACUCAAACUCAUACCACAAUCUCCGUCAUCAUCAUCGCAAUACCAGAAAACAUUUUCCCUUCAAACUAACAAACCCAAACGAAGAAACUUGCAAACUCGCUUUUGUUGCCUAUAAUUGGAUUUGCACCAUAAGAAUUUUGUUUGUGAAUUUAGAUGGUUUUAUGCUUUUAUGUGGUCGAACGUGGCAUUUGAAGCACUUUCCAUUAACAAUGUUGAUAAACUUUUUUGAACAAACAAUGUUGAUAAACUUAAAGUUGGAUGCAAUAAGCUAUUAAGGUUCAUAGUGCAAAUCGUUUUCUUUUGUUGCUAAGUUUUUUUUUGUUUUUAAAUCUUUCUUUUAUUGGAUUUGGUCCCUUGCCAAUUUCAUUUUUUUUGGUUUUCGUCCCUCUCACUUAUUGACUAAUCAACUCAUUUGCCACGUGUCAUUUGCUUGCCACAUCAUCCAUUGUCACGCCAUCAUCUGAUUGCUCUCAUACAUGUUUUUGUAACAAAUGAUGACAGCAUGAAUGAAAAUCAAAACGUUUGCAUCUUACAUAAUUUGUAUAAAAAAAUGUUUUGAGCCUGAAUUAGAAGAAGCCCGAUCUCUUUUUUUACCAUAUCAUUAAAAAUUUAUAAAGACAAUAUUUUAAACUUUUCUAAUUACCUUUUACGCCAUCAAUCACUUUUAUAUUACCAUUUUUGUAUGUGUAUAGAAUUUUUUUAUACAAUUUCGUCAAAUUUAAUGGAAAAUAUAACAUAUAGCACAACUCUUUUAACAAAGGUUAUAAGUUCAAUCCAGCUAUGAAAUGUAGCAAUGUUAAAUAUUUUGAAGAGAAGCAUUGCGAUUCAUUGCUUUUCAUCAUCUCCCAUUUUGAUGAAUGAAUUGGUAGCAAUUCUCUUUUUAAUUCGUUCAUUCAUGGGUGGAGCUGGGCUUUGUUUCUUCCAUGCCUCCUAAUUGGCCUUUUAUGUAACUUUGCUUUUCGGAAAUUGUUUUUCUCCAUUUUGUUUUUGCUUAUUUUAUUUAUAUGUCUACGUGAGGGACGUUAUACCCCCACACCUCUACACUUAUAUCUUACCCAACAAUUUUUAAAAAUUCCAAUUUUACCCCUUUUACUAUAUAAUCUUUUACACAUAAAUUUUUCACCCUCAUUUUCAACAUCUCUUAAUUAAGGAUGAGUUCACCGCCACAUGAUAUUUUUCUUGAUACUUAUUUCCUUUUUUGUUUUUCACUAUCAAACGUUUCCGAAAAUAUUUCGGAAUAUUCAUAUAUACGUUUACAAAAAUAAUAUGAGAACUAGUCUCUCUUCAAAUGAAUGAUGCAACACAACUUAUCUUUCUCCUUUGAUGGAAAAAAUUGUUCUAAUACCAAUUAUUGAAAGAAAAAAUCAAUAAAAAAUCUUUAAACAAGCGGCAACACAACCACAAAAUAUGUAAAAGAGACAAAAACAAAUCACAAGACUGUUUAUCGACACUUCACACCUUCAUUCAUAAUAUCUUAACAAAAUAUUUGUUACAAAAAUAUGCAUACUUUUACUAGGAAUUGCAAACCCUCUUAUACAAUUAUAAUUUUUGCAUAGAUAUAUGCAAACUAAUCUUUCUCAAUUACAAUUUUUGUAAGAAAAACUACAAACUCUUUUAUGACACACAACUACCCAACCUCUUUUUUUUUUUUUCAUUACUCGAUGUGCGAUGUGAAAGAAUAUCAAUUUUAGAGAACAAAUGACUAUAAUUUAUAGGUGGCCUUUAUGAUUUUUCGCACAAAUUUUCAUACUGUGAAAUGUGAAUAGAUGCAUGUGCAGAGAUGGAGUUCAUAAUUUAAAUCUUACGUUAAAAAUAAAACAAGUUUUUAAUGUUAUAGUUUAAAAAUAAAAAAUUGUUUCUUAUAUACAAUAUUUUUAUGAAUAUUUACAUAGUUUUUAAAAAAAAUUAAUAAUGAAUGGUAUAUUCGUGUCCUGUAUGACACAAUGAAACAUAUGCACAUGAAUAAAUUAUACAUUAAGCCUAAUCAUAUGAUCUGAAAAGAUUUUCUCUACAUCUCGUCGAGCUAGCAAGGUAGAUAGAUGUCAACUAAUAUAUAUACAUUAAUUUUUAAUUUGAAUUUUUUUUAACAGCGUUGGAUUGACUUAUAUGUGAUAUUUUAUUUCAUAUUAGGGUAGAGUCUGCUCAUUGGAAACUGAAGCAAAUGUUGGAAAACAGCAAAGAUGACUUGUGCAAAUGUUGGAAGGGUAUGCACAACAUGAAGUUGCAAUUAGGAAAAAUCAUAGCUUCAUUUCAAAAAAGUUUUUAUGAAGUUGAACACGCACACACAAGUCUAUUUUAUGAAAAAUUGCGUGGAUUUGUUUCUAGAGCUGCUUUAACAUGCAUUGUUGUUGAGUUUGAAAGAGUUAGAUAUAUGGAAAUCGACGAAUCGACAUGUGGUUGCAAACUCAGAACAACAUAUGGAUUGCCUUGUGCUUGUGAGUUAGGAAGAUAUAAAAUUAGUGGUAUACCUAUACCAUUAGAUUCAAUUCAUAUUCAAUGGAAGAAAUUAAGCAUGGAAAAGUCAACAAGAGGAAGACACGGAAACUGGAUAAAACGAUUGAAACUAAUAAAACCUUAUUAUAUGACUAAUAGAAUAAAAACACCCCCUUUGAAUUACAAAGUGUGGCUAGAAGGGAACAAAUACAUUAUACAGUAUAAGCAAAGAGUGUGUUAAUUACUUACAUGACCAUACCACAGGGAGCUUUUCUAUACUUGACAUUAAAUUUAAGACAGUACACGUUUACUUAAGCUUAAUUUUACUAUAUUUAGUUAGCAAAAACAGCUUUUCAACUACAGUAGUUGUUUGAAUCCUUUAAAAAAAUACAAGUAAUUGUUUUAACUUUUAAUCACACAAAUAAACUACUCCAAAAUCCAAAUACAUAAACAAGCUUGGCUAAUGUGCUCUUGAUCUUUACAGACAAAGCAACAAUCACCCUUUAAAGUCUAAACAAUCCCAUUACUUAGAGAUACACAUAAGAAAGCACAAAGAAGCCAAAUCCGAUAUAAAAAAUAAAUGUGAUACAUACACAAGUCACAUAUAAAUAAUACUUCAUCAUCAGGGAACAAUAUAUCAGUCUUUUCCAUGUACAACGAUUCAUUAAGCAAUUAAAAUAGCAAUUGCUAAUAAGAGGCGCGGACAUGACCUCAAAAUAACAGAAUUAUCACAACAGACAACAAGUAAGGAUGGAAUAACACAAUUAAGUAAGUAAUGGACAUAGUAUGAAUAACUAAAUGAAUUCUACGAAAACAAUGUAACUAUAUUUCAUUUCCAUUAAUUGCAUAUAUAGAGGUAACCUUGAUCAGUAGUAUAUCUAUGCCCAUUAAUUAGUAUAUCUAUAAAAAAAAAUAGUAGAUCAUGACAAAAGCUACUUCAGAGAGUUAAACAAAAAAUUAAAAAAGUAAUUUUUUUUUGCGCCUGAACUGGAAUUCUUGGCCAAACGAUUCCGGGAAUAAUUAACCGAAAUACUUUGAACGCGUUUUCCGGAAACUACCGGAACACUUCACACAUGGUUUCCGGAAAUCAACCGGAACACUUUGGUUAACACGAUUCCUCGGACGAUUCCAUGAAAGGACGACGGCAAUAUUUCCAGAAAACGGUUUCGUGGAAGGAUUUAUAACACUAACCCAGAAAAUUUUGAAAAACCUAACCGUGAACGAUUCGUGAAUGAUUCCAGAAAAUAAUUCAGAACAAACACAUGGAAUUAGUGGAUGAGACAGAACACAGAAUCAGAAUAAAUGAUGCUUACUUGUUUGUUGGAAGAAGAAUCAGAAGAGGGUUUUCCAGAAAAGGGGAUUGAACGUUGAAGGAGAAGGGUUUAGAGUGUGUGGGGGUGAAAAGUGAAGGGUAAUUUUGGUAGUUUGUGUUAAAUGUUGGGGUAUAGGUAUAAAUGUAGGGGUGUAGGGUAUAACGUCCCUACGUUAACUCAUGUUGAAAAAAUCGAACGUGAGUUAACUCACGUUGGGCAUAAUUAAGGGAAUGAGCAAUUUAUUGCUUUUUUCAAAUAAAAAGUUGCUUAAAAACACAUGAAAAUGACACAAACCGCUGUAGUUAUCUAAGCUUAGGGUUUUUGGUCAUUUUCAUGUGUUUUUAAGCAACUUCUUAUGUGAUUUUUUUUUUUUUUUUAAUGUUUGUAACAGCUAAGUUUAUCAACUAUUAGUCAGCUUAUAGUUUCUUAUAAUAAUAUGAGAUUUCUUUUUGGGCGAGCGUGUUUAGUUUUUUUUUAAUAAAAAUAGAUAAAUAAAAUAACUUUAAUCAUUUAAUAGUGUUUGUUUAGGUUUUUAUUUUAAAUAUUAUUGUUUUACUCUAAAAUGAAAAGCUAUUAGAAUUAACUAUCUUUAAAAAUUUUUUUUUUUUUUCAAAAAUAUAGAGGUAACACAUGAACAAGUUUUUCUAAAAAAAAAAACAAUUAUUUUUAUAGAAGUAAACAAACAGAAAUAAUUUCAGAUUUUUUAAAGAAACCUCUAAAAAGAUCUCUAGAUUUUUAUAAUACAAAAUCUUUUUUCUUUUUAAGUUGAAACAAAACACCCUUAAUCUCUUUUAUUUGAUUUACCCUAGUUACAUCGCAUAAACCUUGAAUUUCACCAUUUCUAGAAAGAAAAAAAAAGGGUUAAAUAUGUUUUUGGUCUCUAUAAAUAUACCAACUUUUCGUUUUAGUCCCUCUAAAAUUUUCCUUCAACUUUUAGUCCCUAAAAAAUUUUCAAUUACUACUUUUGGUCCCUAUUUUUAAUUUAAUUUUUGUAUUUUUUAAUAAAAUUGUACAGAAAUGUGUAAAAUAUUCUAAAAAAAAUAAAGAAAUUAGAAUUUUUUAACAAAACACAAAUUAAAUAUGAAUUUUUAACUGUAAAAAAUAUAAAAAUUCAUAUUAAAUUCAUGAUUUGUUAAAAAAUUCUAAAUUUUUUUUGAAGUGAUUCUUAUAAUAUUUUGAAUUUUUAUGGAAAAUUUUAUUAAAAAAUAUGAAUUCUAGAUAUGAGUUUACUUUAAAAAGAGACCAAAAGUGAAAAUUGAAAAUUUUAUAGGAACUAAAAGUUGAAGGAAAAUUUUAGAGGGACUAAAUGAAAAGUUGACAUAUUUAUAGGGACUAAAAAUAUAUUUAACCCAAAAAAAAAAUACCCUUAAUUUGUUUUCAAAUUUUAACGUGACCACUGCAGCAACUAUAGACAAGGGAAAAUAUGGCGAUACACGCAGACUCCAUCGGUAAGAAACCUAGGUGUUUCUAGAAAGUUUAGUGGAAUAAUGAUAGUCAUAGUUGAGUCUCAUUGUUUACAAAUGCCAUUUGUAAAUUUUAUUUUGAAGGUGAGAAAAACACAAGAAGGGGGUUGAAGUGUGUUAACUUUUUCUUUUCUUUCUCUAUCUGAAACAAGCAGGUCAGAAGCAGGUAGAAUUCUACUUCUGAAGAGAUGUUCAGAACUAAAUGCAGCGGAUACGAAUAGAGAGAAAGAGAGAAAAAAGACACAGACAAUUUAUACAGGUUCCUUCCACAAACUGGAAGUCAGUCAUGUCCCCCUUGCACUUCCAAGGGGAGUUCACUAUGUAAUAUCUGAUUACAAAUGCUCACUACUAAACUUAGUAUGAGACUUCAAAUUGCUCAAGCACAACUGCAAGAGACUUCCUAUGCUCCUGAACACAAUCAAGAGACUUCUAUUGCUCAAGCACAACUGCAAGAGACUUCUAAAUUCAAACAGAAUUACAAUGAAAAAUGUUUGAGGUUGAACACUUGAUAUACAAUCAAUGGUGUUCACAAUACAAAUCACAGACUCUAGAAUUCCUAAGAUAUAAGCUUUGUUAUGAAAUUCUAAGUGAACUUUGAAGUGAAGAGCAAUUUCAACAGAGUUUUAGCUUAACUGAUGCGUAGUAUUGUUCUUUAGUAACUCUGAGUCUUCACUCCUUUAUAUAGAGUUGUGAAAGAGACGUUGAAAUGUCUUCUUAUUCAAAAUAGAGUCGUUUGAAGCUCUUGAUCUAUCACCAAUGAUCUUUUGCCUGAUAUGGUUAUUGUCCUAUGAAGGAUCAAUUUCAAAUGUGUUCCCAAUGUGAAUAAACAUUGUUGCAGGCAGAGCUGUUAUCCUUGUCUUGUAGCAGAGACAAACUCAUAAUAGUGGAGGUAGUGGUUGUACACUUCGUACAAACGUACUAUGUCAACGCUCUUUGAAGAAAAAGCAUCCAAUGCAUUUCAAAAUAGUCGUGCCACAAUUUUCCAGUCUUCUGCAAUCUUUAGGCGAGUUAGAGUCCUUGAAACAGCUUUUGAAAAUUUAAGUUCAAUCUUCUGAUGAACUGCAGCUUCUGGUGAUACACAGCUUCUGAUGAACUUGCUUCUGAUGACGUCAUCACUUCAGAAGCACUUUGUCUUUAGGCGCACUUCAAACUUCAGGAGCAGUUUUCUUCAGACGCUCGAAGCUUCUCUUUUUGUUGAUAUACUUGCUCUUUAUUUGUUCUUUGAAGACCAAUUUAAUAUGACAAUUUUUUUUCUAUAGUCCUGUACACUUGAACAAAUAUUAGCGUAUCCAAUUGACAAUUUUUAAUACUUUAUUAUCAUCAAAACUCUCAAGGGUUAUUAUUGCUAAACAAAUUUUAUUCCAACACAUUUUACAUACAUAAUCAAUCAAACAAUAUGUUACUCGCAUUUCUUUUUACUUUAUAUUUAGUUAUGUUUUUAUUAGCUUAGUUCUCAAAAAUCACAACGGAAGAACGUAGUUUCUUUCUACUUUAUACUUACACUCUUUAAAGAAUGGAAGAACAUCGUUUCUUUCUUGGCAUAAUCGUUUGGAGGAAAAGAGAAUCAUUGUUGAGAUCUAUUAGCCAGUUCAUCAGCUAAUUUGGCAACAAUUUGUAAUAAUAAAAUUGUUGUAUUAAUAAAAACAAAGCAAGGUGAGGACUAAAAAUUACCAAAUAACUGUGUGAAUAUUGGUAAUAAGAUAGGAAAUAAGAGAAGGAGUGAUAAAGAAAGGGGUAAGGGCUACAAGGGUCAGUGGCCCCAAACCAUCAUCUACGAAGGACACAGUAGCCUGUGCAAUAGCAGCAUGUACAAUAGUGACAUAUUUUACCCUCCAAUUCAUCACUCUUUGCUAGCAAGAAAACUUUUAAAUUUUACCACACAUAAUUAAUUUUCCAAUACAAAUUAAAUGAAAGAAAACACACAUAGAAAGAGAUAUUGUUAUAUAUGCAUACGGGUGGACAAGCAUGCAUGUAAAGUAGCAAAAUAAAUUAUUUAAAUAUUCAUAUGACACAAAAUGAUUGAGGAAUAUAACAAGAGAGGGUAGCUAAAUUUUACACACAAGAAAACAAUAGCCAGAAGAUAAAUAGCUAGGUAUAUUGUUUUCUUCUCCUCGUCUCUUCAUUACUCUUGUCUCCUUAGAUCCUUUCCUCUUGCAACCUUUUUGCUCUCAAUCUGUGAGUUUUUUUUUCUACUUUUUCUUCUGACAUGAAAAAAACAACCACAAAAAAAUCAAAUAUAUAUAUAUUUCAGCUCUUUCUAGCUUCUUUAAAUUAUUUUGUUAUAUAGUUUCUUUAAUUUAACUGAUCUCUUUUUUGUUAUCCUUGUUCCAUGAGAGAAGGAAACAUGUUAAUGAAAUUUUUCUUUUAGAAGAAGAAUUAAACAUUUGAUUAUUAAGUUUUUGUUUAAAAAUUUCAGAUUGCAAAAUAUAUAAUUAUGGCGGCUGCUUCUUCAUCUACAUCAUUCUUUGGAAUCAGAGAAGAAAAUCAAAGUCAAAUAACACAUCAUCAUCCUCAUCCUCAAUCAACUACUACUUCUGCUACUUCCUCAGCUCCUUCAACCACAGUUCCUCAAAAGAAAAGAAGGAAUCAACCUGGAACACCAAGCAAGUAGCUUAAUUAUUUUUAUUUUCAUUAUUACUUAAAGCUUCAACAUGCACACACCCUUCUCGAAUUUUUUUUUUUUUUUUUUUUUGUAUUAUUUUCUCAAAAAACAAGCAUAAUGAAACCCUAAAUCAUGAACAUGAGUUAGGGCUCUGAAUUUCUUUUACAAAAAAGCUAUAUAAGAACUAUGUUUAGGGUGCAUGCAGUCUCCUCCAAUUUUAUUCUCAAAAGCAUAUGAGACUUCGGUUUUAAUUUUUGUAAUAAUUUUUCUAACUUCUACUGUUUUUUACUACUAUUACCAUGAGUUUGUGGCUUUUAAAUGGAAAAAAUAACAAUAAAACAUAGUUCUUCAUUUCAUGGUGCAUAUAUAUUCAAUUAUGAAUACUUCUUUUGAUGUUAAAAAAACUAGAAUUUUAUAAUAUUUUUCUUAUACAAAAAAAUAUAUAAUAUUUUGUUGUUUUGGCAUUUUUCAUGGUAAAAAGAUCCAGAUGCAGAAGUGAUAGCACUAUCUCCCAAGACUCUAAUGGCAACAAAUAGAUUUAUAUGUGAGGUUUGCAAUAAAGGGUUUCAAAGGGAGCAAAAUCUUCAACUUCAUAGAAGAGGACACAAUCUUCCUUGGAAGCUAAAGCAAAAGUCCAACAAAGAGCCAAGGAGAAAGGUUUAUUUGUGUCCUGAGCCCACAUGCGUCCAUCACGACCCUUCAAGAGCUUUAGGAGAUCUAACUGGAAUUAAAAAGCAUUUCUCUCGUAAGCACGGUGAGAAGAAGUGGAAAUGUGAAAAAUGCUCAAAGAAAUAUGCUGUUCAAUCUGACUGGAAAGCACAUUCUAAGACUUGUGGUACUAGAGAAUAUAGAUGUGAUUGUGGCACCCUCUUCUCUAGGUAACAAACAUCAUCUUUAUAUUUAUAUCUUCACAUCGAUGUUAGUCUAAUUAUAUUUCAUAAAUAUGAAUUCAUCACUCUAUAUACAUAAUAUAUGCUACACUUUUGCCAAAUGUUAGGGUUAUACUUAUAUGGUUUGGUAUUGAAUAUUAUUUUAUUUUAUAGAAGUUAGUGUUUGAUUAUUUUUUUACUACCAAUUUUAUUAUAAGAAUUCGAUUAUUUUAAUCAUGUUUUUUUUCAUCAUUCAAUUGCAAGGAAAAUGGUCAUAAGUCAUAACAAUCUGAAGUUUUGCAAGAAAGCAAGUAAAAUCCAACCAAACCGUAGAUCAAACUCAUAGACUCCUUAUAUAUCGUUCUCUUUCUUUCCUCUUCGUAUUGAGCUCUAAUUUAUCUAAAUUGAAGUACUCUUUAAACUUCUUUACUAAGGAACCUUUUACAUAUAAAAAGGUGUGUGUAUAUAUAUAAAUAUAAUAAGUUGAAUUUUUUUACAAUAAGUAAAAACACACAAAGGUUAAAUUUGAACAACAGUCUCUUUUAUGUUCUUAUCCCAAAAAAAAGUGAACAAGAGCUUUCACCCUUUCUCUGUUAGUUUGUGUUUGGGUGUUAGUGAAGGUGUAUAUUGUAUGGCGCAGGAGACUGCAUGCACGUGAGUACACUGUUCAAAUGUAGUACAAAAAUUGAAAUGUUUGAAGGAAAAAAAAUCAACUUUGGUUUUAGGGAACCGUGCCCAUAAUCUUUUAACGUUCACGUGUAGUGAAACAACAUAAUAACUUUGUUCUCAUAUGAAAUGGAUUGGAGGAGAUGCUGGGUUUUGUUCUCUUUCUUGUUAGCUAUUUCUAGUUUUCAAAAUUCAAAUACAUUUCCAUGUUCUUUUUAGCAAUGGGUCCAAGGUGACUAAUUUCCAUGUUACUAACAGAAAAUUCUCUUCAUUAAUUGGUCAUGUUUCUCAUAUAGAUUUGCUAGAAAUUAUGUGAUAUAACGAAUUAUCUUGGUAGAAUAUAGACAAGUAUUGAGGUUGCUUGCAUUUAUUAAGUAGGCCCCAUAUUGAAAUUUUUGAGUAUUGACUUUCAUCAUAGUUGCAAACAAUUCUCUCUUUUAUUGAUCAAAGAAAGACCUCAAAUUAGAAGUUUGAUUUAGAAAUUCUUGGUUUGUUUCAAAUUUUGGCAUAAUCCCAUGGGCCCUCUACUUCAAUUGUAGUUUUCUUAAUUUCAACAUACUAUACUAGUUUCAAUUAAUUCCAAUUAAAACAAUUAGGUUACUCAUAUUCAUUACACAAAUAUAUGGGAUUAUAAUAUGAACUUCCAAAGGCGAACAUAACUAUUUUUGGUAAAUUUUAAUACAAUAUUAGAUAUGUUCUCCUUUUUACUAUAUAUGGUAGGGGUCUACAUUAUACCCACCCAAAAAAAUUGACAAUGAUAUAUAUAUGUUGCUUAAUUCUUUGUAAUUAAUUUUGGUGCAGGCGUGACAGUUUCAUCACUCAUAGGGCAUUUUGUGAUGCACUAGCACAAGAGAGUGUAUUAAGACACCAUAACCCUUUUGGGAGUACUCAUCAAUUGUAUGCCACAAACCAUCACAUUAGUUUAGGCCAAAUAUCCCAUCAAUUGCAAAAUCAUCAGAACCAAAUUACAUCAUCCACUAGCAACAAUAACAACCUUUUGCGCCUUGGAUCAGCACCACCAAAAUUUGAACAAAACUUAAUCUCAUCACCACCUUUAAAUCACUCUUCAUCAUUUGGACACUCAAUCCCAUCUUCAUCACCAUUCUUCAAUAUGAGUGAUAUUUCAAAUCAAUCCUUUGAAGAACAACAAUCUCAACAAGGACAAUUCUUAAACAAACAACUACAUGGUCUAAUGCAUCUUCCUGAUCUUCAAGGCAAUACAAAUACAAACAAUUCAAAUUCUUCCAAUCUUUUCAACCUUAUGGUUCAUGAUCAAUUCAACAACAUGAGUAGUACCCAAGGAACAACACUUUACAUUAACAACAAUAGCUCUUUAAGUGAUCAUCAAGUUGGUUUUGUCAAUUCAAUGCAACAUGGUCAAAACAUGUCUAGUCCUCACAUGUCUGCCACUGCAUUGCUUCAAAAAGCUUCUCAGAUUGGUUCAACUAAUUCUACCAACAAUAACAAAGGUAGUAAUAAUGAUCAUAAAUCAGGUGAUAGGGACUUUGUUGUGUCUGAUCACAACAACAUCAAUGCCACUUUUGGAAAUAGAAGUUCAAGUAUUGAAAAUGAUCAUGACAACAACGAUCUUCAUGGAUUGAUAAACUCUAUUGCAAAUGGAAACACAUCAUCCAUAUUUGGCAAUGAAAGCAAUCUUAAUAUGAGAUUUGGUGGAUCUGAUAAGUUAACUUUAGAUUUUCUUGGUGUUGGAGGAAUGGUCAGAAAUAUGAGUGGUGGAUUUUCACAAAGUGAACAACAACGUGACAUGAUGAAUACUAGUAUGGUUUCUUUGAAUCAUGACCUAAAAUCAGCACAUUCAAGUCAACAUUUUGGAAGCUCAAAUAUCUUGCAAUGAAGAUUGGGGUGAGAAAUUUAUUAAUUUAAGGAAAUAUUGCUUGUUAGUUACAUGUGAAUUAUUCAUUAAUUAAGUAGUAAACUUUGUUUCAAACAUUUAUUUAUUUUAUUUUUGUUUUCCUCAAAAGAAGUGCAGUUCAUUGGUAAAAUGAGGUUCCAAUUCUAGAAAUUACUACAAAUUACAAUCCCUUAUUUUAUUUUAACACGUCCCUUUCCUUAUUCUUUGCUCUCUAUGAUGUGAUAGAGAGAUGUAAUAAAUUCACUUUUGAAUUUCAUGUGUGAGCGAACAUGAGAUAAUAAAGUUUAUAGAAAAAAAAAAUUGAUUCAUUAUAGAUUUUCCUCUAAGAAAAUUAUUUCUCAAUCACAGAGGGUAAAAUUCCAUGCUCGAACCAAGAAAAAAUAUUCAACCUAACAAUUUCAGCAUUGUUAGUUGUGCUAGGUUUUACGGACCAGGACAUCAUCGUUGUCUACCAAUUUUUUUUUACAGAUUUGAGGCGAUUUAAUUUGGUUGAUAAACACGAGUAAAUUACUCAAAUGCCCCUUGGCAGUUAACUGCCGAAAUUUUAAAAAAUCGGCUGCAGUUAACUGUCGAGAAAUUUCAAACCUGAAAUUAAAUAAGGAAAUACACCUAUGUUUUCCUUAAUUAAAUUUAAAUCUUUAAUCCUUUUAAGGAAUUAAACAUAAUUAUUUUUAUGAUUUCAUUCAUAUGAUUUUGUUGCUAUAAAUGAAGAAAUAUGAGAGAUGAAUAAUAUCUGUAAUCGGUAGUUAAUAGACCUAAAAUGAUGAUUCAAUAAAAAAAAUGCAACAACAAAAACGUUACAAAUGAUAGAAUAAUUAUAUUUGUAAUUAUUAGUAAUUAAUUUCAUUGAUGUUGUUAUUAUUCAUAAGUUUGACUAACCUAUUAUUACUUUAUACUAAUAUUUUAGAUAUUAUUACUUUAAUUAACAUGAAAAACGCAACAACAAAAAAUAAGGGGGAUUUAUUGGAUUAAGAUUCUAUGGGAUUUUAAAAGAUUUUUUAAUUAUGAAAAAGUCUUGUGGUAUUCAAUCAAAACUUUUUGCAGCCGGUUCUUUAAAAUUUCAACAGUUAACUGUCGAAGGAUAUUUGAGUAAAUUACUCGUAUUUCUCAGUCAAACCAAAAGUGUGAACAGCAAUACUCAAUUUCAAAAACAUGUAUAUGCCACGGUAAAUAAAGCCAGUUGUUGACUUGUUGAUAGUUGUGUUGUUAUUACUUGUGUACAAAUGCUUACCAAACGAGGGUGGGAUGUUGGCACUCUGUUAUGUUAAGAAUCUUCACGUUUUGGCUAUAUUCCAAUGGAAGCGACAGAGCCUCAUUUCCGUUCAAUUUCAUCUUUGUUUUUUUAUAUACGACGUACAAAUACUAACUAACUAAAGGUACAUUAACUUUAAAAUAAAGCAAGAAAUUUUGUAGUAUUGCUUACCUAAUAUAUAUAUACCUUACUUUUAAAAAUACAUAUUAAAAUAUAUGUAAUAAAAAAUUAUAUUAAAUGCUAUAUAAAUGUUAAAUGUUAGAGUCUCACAUUGAAUAUGAGAAUAGUAUAACAAUAUGUUUACAAGUUAUUUAUAAUAGGUUCUUAAUAAUAAUACUAAAUAAAUAUCAAAACUUAUUUAUAUAGAAGUUAUUUUAGUAUUAUUAAGAGCCUAUACUUUUUUUUUGAGCAAAAGAGCCUAUACUUAAUUGAUAAGAAAUUGUUACCAAUAUACCAACUCCAUUAAGUACCAUAAAUUUGAGAAAGAGACCUUGCAUAUUUUUCAGGUGAUUUUGUUGACAUCUUUUUCUCUUAACACUAGGAAGGACCCUUUAGUUUUUCAUUGUAAUAUAAAUAUUCUUGUACAAGUUGACUACCUUUGAAUUUGCAUGUCGUCGUUGAUGGCUAUAUAUAGGGUUAGAUCUAACGUCAUUGUUCAUUUGGUGGAAGAUUUUUAUGAGGAGUGUGUGGUACAUAACAUAUGCAACAUAAAUAACAUAUUAGCAGUAGUCUCUGCAAUGUUCGUUAUUGUAAUUACUGGUAAAAUAGCUGCGACACUUUUGUCGCAUGUAAAUUCCUUCUUCACAUGGAAAUCACCCGUCCGUGAGUGAGUGAAUGAAUGAGUGACUAUUAACCAACCAACCCAGUCAUUUCAUUUCGCCUUCACUCUCUACCCGUUACAGUUUUUCUAACUUUCUUUCUUUAGAUUGAGUAACUUCAAUAAUGCAAUGCAACUAAAGAUUAUUACUUACAACUUCUAUGCUCAAAUAAUUGUUGCAAUGCAAUUAAACACUCACUCAUGCGUGUCCCCGUGAGCCUAAUCCAGUUUGUAGAGACAUUGCAUUAUAUAUAUAGAGGUUGGGGUUCAAACUCAAACACUCUACUUAUUCACCUUAAAAAAAAUGAAUUUAAGUCAAUUGGCUACCUGACUAAAAAAAAACGCACUCAUAUGUUUUAUUUCAUAAGCUGGUUUUAGACCUUUUUAUCUGAAAAACUUAUCUCACAUUGUAGUUGAUAUGUAUGGUUAGACCUUUUGUGAGGUUUGUGUGUCCCCUAGUCUAUCACUCUCUCACAGUUAAACUACUUUGUUUUUGAGAGGUUUGUAUACCUUACUUAAAAACAACUAUCAUUCUCUCAUCAAUUUCAUCAUUAAGCUAUUAAAAUUAACUAAAAAGUACCUAAACUAUUCUCACAUAUAACUAUUAGCCCCUUGGUUGACAAAGUUAAUUUUUUUUAUGAUGGUUUAUGGACUAAAUUGAUAUAUUUUUUAUAGUUUAAAGAUCUUCUAGUUGAUUUUAAUAACUCGAAGGCUAUAUAUGUGAAAAAAUUGAUAGUUUAAGGAACAAGUUGAUUGUUUAUUCUUAAUUUGAUUGAAGUCUACUGGCACACAAAUUUACAAGGAUACGGUGGAUAUGGGGAAGUUAUACCUGAUAUCCCUACAUUUAAUCUUUUACCCCCUACAAAUUGUUGAAAAUGCCAAAUUUACCUUUUAUCAUUUCACUUCACCCUGCAUAAAAUUUUAGCCAACAAUACACUUCCGAGAUUUAAUACUCCAAUUUUCGGAAUAUUCAUAUCAAAUUUUUAUGGUAGAUUAAUUUGUAAACCGGAACAAUUGAGUAAAGAAUUAUUAUCAGAAUUCUUUCUUCUUUCAUCGAGGUUUGAGAGACAAUGAAAGAUGGAAAAUAGAAUACAACAACCUGUAUUAGUUAAUAUAAAAUUAAGUGCAAAGCAAAGAUCAUGAUACCAAACCUCAUCAAUUCUUCUUCCAAUUCAUUUUAUUUAGAUCUAAAAAAAUGAAAGGCCGUAUAUUUCUGGAGUAGAAUUUUAGAUGUAAGGUUGGGAAAUCAAAAAACCUGGCUAAAACUGCAGAAACCUGUUUUCUGAAUUCUUUCUAAAAAAACAGUGUAAAAAAAUGCUUGUCUCUUUAUCUGUAGAUCUAAAAAAAAAUCAUUUCUAAUUCAUCUUGUUUGGAAAUAUGAAUACGAAAAGUUGUAUAUUUUAAUUUUUUUUAUUUUUACAAAAUACCGUUGUUGGGAAUGUGAAUAAUCUAAGAUUAAAUGUAGGGGUGGUAAAAGAUUAAAUGUAGGGGUAUAUGGUAUAAUAUCCUGGAUAUGGUAGGCUUAUAUUACUUAGAACCCAAAUCAUGUUACUUAGGCCCGUCAUCAUGGACUUUUUUCAUGUGGUUUCCAUGCAGGCUAGUUGAAUAUUGCUCUUUAGGCAUCCAUGUUUUGCUCUCAGACAUUUUGAAAUUAUUAUUUUACCUCAAUGAAAAUUAAUUACCAUUUGUUGAUGAACGAUGGUUAGUUUUCAUUCUCUUAUGAACAGUAGUUAAUUGUCGUUCUAGGGCAUUUUAUGUGGUUCAGAUUGCGCAGACAGUUUUUGUGGUCCACGAUACAUAAAAACUUCUAUAAAUUGGUGUGUUUGGUUCAUUUGAAACCACACCACAAAAUCAUGAAUAUUUAUCUAGUAGAUCCGAACACCAAAUUAGCGCAGUUAACUACAACGGGGAAAACUCAAUAUGUUUAGGGUUCAGGUUAAUGCUAUAUCGGUUGACUUGAAGGAACAUAGUUGGACCAAAUUAACAGUCGACUCAACCACAAAGACACAAGAAAGGUGGAAAGUGUUGAGUAUCGUCAUCCAUUCGUUUGACUCAUAUGAAAGCGUCAAGUUCACCCAUAUGAAGUUCAAGAACAACGACAUCGUGAGAACCAUCAAGUUAGACGCUUCAUUGGUCAAAUAUUUUUUAGAUGUUCCGGAAAGUUUGAUUCAGAUUAGGACCUUCAAAGAAAACAGGACUUGCAUGGAUAGACCAAAAGAAAUAAGUAUGUCUUAUUCGUGAUUUUGUAUGUGUUUUAUUAUGUUGUUAAAUUAUGUUAGUGUAUUGUGUUUUAUUAUGUUUAAUGUAUGUUUUUGUUAACUUAUGUCAUUGAAAUUAUGUUAAUGUAUUGUAUUUUAUUAUGUUUAAUGUAUGUUCUUCUGAGCUUUCCUUUGUAACUAAUGAUUAACUACAGUUUCUUCUGAAAACAACAAUUAACUAUUGUUCCUAGAAUGGGAGUUAACUCUUGUUUAACAACGAAAAAUAAUUAAUUAUUAUUUCGGAUAAAAUAGUCAAUUUGAGACGUGUUAAAACAAAGUAUGAGUGUCUAACGAACAAUUUUCAAGAUAGUUUAGUCCUUUUUGGGUUCUACCUUUUUUUUUUAUGAGUAACUUCUACACCUAGUUUCCAUUCUUUUUUGUGUUAAUUGUCCGAUUUCUUAGCAUGUGCGUAACUCACGCAGCGUGACUUAAGUCACACAUGUGUAAAAACUAAGUCAUGUAUUUUUUACACUUGCGCUAAUUAACUAACGCAAGGGUAUUUUCGGCAACACUGCAGGGCGCGAGUGUUUUGUGUUGGGUGAAGAGCAGAAUUCUAAAGUCAUAUAUAUAUAUUAUGGUUUUAAAAGGGUAAUUGCUAAAUCAGAUUCAUAGGAAGCAACUAAGUUAAUAUUGAAAGGGCAUGGUAAAGGGCACCCUUGUUCUCAUAUCAUUUCUCAUAUUUCUAAUUUUCUUGUCUAAUUCAUGAGUUACAAGUUUCAACGUGUCUAACGUGAAGCCAACAAAGUCGUGAAUGCUUUUGCAAGGAAUAUCCAACUUCAAAGUAUUAGCGCAGCUUUAACUUGAUGAACAAACUUAGAGUUUUCUAGGGUUUUAAUUUGAUUUUGUUGAAAUAGAGAGAGAAUGAGAAGAAUGGGUGAAUGAGGAGACAAGAAGUAUUAAAGUUGUGAUUUCAUUUAUAUGUAAAAAUACACAUGAAAGUAGCUUAUAUACAUGGUUUUUUGCUAGGUUACUUGAAGUACAAGUCAUAUAACAAACCCUAAAUACCUUAAGCUAAAAUCUAGUAAAUUUGUAACAAACUAUUAACAAACUAAACUAACUAGAUUUCUAAUGUGAUUAACCAAACAAGCUUGAUUAGAUCACUAACAAACUUGAAUUAUCAACUAACACAAAGUUGCGAUAAUAUAAAAAUAAUAUCAGAACUAGUCUCUCUUCAAAUGAAUGAUGCAUCACAACUUAUCUUUCUCCUUUGAUGGAAAAAUUUGUUCUAAUACCAAUUAUUGAAGGAAAAAAAUCAAUAAAAAAUCUUUAAACAAGCGGGAACACAACCACAAAAUAAGUAAAAGAGAUAAAAACAAAUCACAAGCCUAUUUUUCGAUACUUCACAGUUCACACCUUCAUUCAUAAUAUCUUAACAAAAUAUUUGUUACAAAAAUAUGCAUAGUUUUACUAGGAAUUGCAAACCCUCUUGUACAAUUAUAAUUUUUGCACAGAAAUAUUGCAAACUAAUCUUUCUCAAUUACAAUUUUUGUAAGAAAAACUACAAACUCUUUCAUGACACACAACUACCCAACCUCUUUUUUUUUUUUUUUUUUUUUCAUUACUCGAUGUGCGAUGUGAAAGAAUAUCAAUUUUAGAGAACAAAUGGCUAUAAUUUAUAGGUGGCCUUUAUGAUUUUUGGCACAAAUUUUCAUACUGUGAAAUGUGAAUAGAUGCAUGUGCAGAGAUGGAGUUCAUAAUUUAAAUCUUACGUUAAAAAUAAAACAAGUUUUUAAUGUUAUAGUUUAAAAAUAAAAAAUUGUUUCUUAUAUACAAUAUUUUUAUGAAUAUUUACAUAGUUCUUAAAAAAAUUAAUAAUGAAUGGUAUAUUCGUGUCCUGUAUGACACAAUGAAACAUAUGCACAUGAUUAAAUUAUACAUUAAGCCUAAUCAUAUGAUCUGAAAAGAUUUUCUCUACAUUUCGUCGAGCUAGCAAGGUAGAUAGAUGUCAACUAAUAAGUUGAUGAAAUCGGCUAAAAAAGAUUCCCAGUUGAAGUUUAUUAUUUUUUUGGUGCAACCCAGUUGAAGAUUUUAUUAACUUUGAUGAUGGCUCUGAACUACCAAGUUUUCUAGAACUUGAACAAGUCCUUAAUUUUAGUUGAAUUGCAAUACUAUGUCUAUAUGUAUAGUAUACCGUUUCUGGUUUCAUAGUCUGUUAAUUUUAAGGAAUUUUUUCAAGUGGCUCAAAAAAAACAUAUACAGUACAUUCUUUAGUUUUAUUUACAUCGUUUUCAAUCUCUUUCGCUUUUUUAAAUAUUUACGCAGAAAACAUUUUUUUUUUUUUUUCAAUCAGAAAGAGGCAAAAUUAAGAUUUGCAUUGGUUUUAGUCAUCACCUACUACAUUAAAUUACUAUUUGUGGAAAAUAUUGUUUAUAGCGUGAAACUGUGCUCUGACUGGCUCACAUGCAAACGGACAGUGGCAAUAUUGUUUAAGGAAGUAUUAAUCUUUUUUUUUUUUUUUUUUUUGACAGAAACCAUAUAGUAUUAAUCUAUUAUUACUACUAUAUAUGCAUAAAAAAGGACCAAUUAACCGACAUGCUUUGAGUUAUUUUGUGUUUUUUUUUUUUAUUGUUUCUGAAAAAAUCAACCAACAUGCUUCUUUUUUUGCGCUAACUAAAACUAAUUUAUUUAUGCUACUAAUCAAUUUAUUAAGACUAAAACUUGAGUACAAGUUAGUCUUUUUUUUUGUAGUUGGUGACCUACAAGUGGUACUCUUGUACUCAUUAUACUCAAAGUCAAGGGUACAUGCGUAUGUGUUAUGCUGAAUUCGAAAAUUCAUAGUCAAGACCCAGCAAUAUCAAGAUAUAUACACACAUGUCCUAAAGUGCAUUCUGGAGAAUAAGAACUACAAGUCUAAAGUUUUUCUUUUUGUUAGUAAAGUUAUUUUAGUCCAAGUUUAGACUAUACAACGCUGACUAUGAAAUAUGAAAGGAAAAAAAAACCUUCAAUUUUUGUCAAAAAAAUAAAUUCCAUUGUCUCUAACUAAUUAUUGAAAUUUUAAACAUGUGUUUGGUCUAACGGUAUGGUAGAAAAAAUCACGGCAAAAAUUCACGGUAACUACAAAAUCUAAAAAUUUGUAAUUUCUUUGAAAUUUGAGUUUGUAACUUCGAACGUCAAAUAAUCGUUCAUUAAGUCUCUAAAGCUCACAUGAUCAGACCAGCUUUGAUUGCAAAAUAUGACCAACUAAUUACUAAUAAACAUUUAAUUUUGUUAGCAGAUCAAUUUAUCUGUUUAAUGUUAAAAUAAAUCUGAUCCAAUUCAAUACUUUUGGACAUAGAUUGAAAUGGUUUCCCCCCCCCCCCCCCCCCCUUUUUUUUUUUUUUUUUUGUAAACUAGGUAUCCUCCGCGCGCAACUGCGGAGACUAAUCCCUCGAGCAUUGUGAGACCCAAAUGGACGGCAGACUCUCCCUAAGAGUUUUAACGCUGCUGGAGGUAUUGUAAAUAAUAUUUUGUGUUAUAUUAUUUUUAAGAGUGUAUAUUUCUAUAUAAAAAGAGUGAGUUUUGCCUUCAACCUCGAGGUAAUCGGUUUGAGACCUAGGCACUGAGAACAUGAGUUUUUUCGAUUAGCUCUUUAAAAAAUUAUUUAUAGGAGGAAUAAUUGUUUUUAUGGAAUUUGUCGUGUAAUAAAAAUCUAAAUCGUCUAGUCUACAAUUUUGUAUAGUCUUCAAUUAUGUUGUGAAUUCGGGCUUUGAAACUUCACACCAAUCCAAACUAUGAUGUGUGGAGAAAGUAUCAAUGGCAACCAACAACCAAAUUAACCAUAAGCAAUAACAAUAAUAUAUACCAAGUCUAUAAACCAAGUGCAUAGCAAAAUCACAAUCCAACCAAAUAAUAAACAAGAUAAAAGAGUAAAGAAAAAUAGACAACAACACCAAGAGAUUGUUCACCCAGUUCGGUCCAACCAUGACCUACUCUGGAGGAGAGAUUGAUCUCUUCAAUCCACUAUCAAUGAGUUCUUACAAAGAGAUACAAAUGAGUUACAAGAAAUUAGCUUCAACAAGCUCACAAAAAACAACCCUAAUUUCUACCAAUUUUCCCAAUCUCACCAAUGAACAAGACACUCAUGAUUUUUACUCUCCCAAGGUGUUUACAAUUGUUUCACAACUCUAGAAUCUAACCCCCAAAAGAGAACCAACUCUUAGCCUUUGAUUUCACUUAGGAUCUUCUCUUUUGGUUUCACAAGACUCACCCAAGUUGCUCGCAAAUGACUCUCCACUCAUGUGUUUCCCAACCCCAUGAAUCUUCUCCAAAAGGCACCAACCCUUUUCACAAGAGCCCCCUCUUUUGGUUCUCCAAGAUUCACAUCUUGAAGCUUUGAACCUCACCCAAAGACCCUCAACCUUUAGUAUCUAAAACCCUAAAAGUUUCAUCCUUUGGUUGUUAUGGGAUUCACCAAGCUUACCCAACAAAUGGAUCAGGGAGUGUUUAAAACAUGUUUCAGAUCUGUCAAAAUCGUGUCACAUUUUGCCUUCAGAACCAAACAUGCAUUCGGCAUCAGAAAUCGUGACACGGUUGCCAAAUCGUGUCAUGAUUCUUCACUUUCAUAAAGACUUAAUUUUGAGUCAUAUAUAUACCAACAAAUUCAAAUUAUAUAAAUGGACGGUAUAUUCUUUAGUAAAAGUAUUAUUUCACAAUUUAAUACGUAUUAUUAAAAGAAAUUAGAAACAAUUAUCAAAAAAUUAUGAUAGAUAAUAUAUUAAACUCGUCUAGUGUGUGUGUAUUUUUGAAGGAUAGUGUGUGUGUGUAUUAACAUCAUUCUCUAAUUAUUUUUGUAGGGAAACAAUGUUGGUUAAAUUGAUGUGUACUUUUUUUUGUAAAAAAUAAUCGACGUAUUUUUAAAUGAGAUUUACAUGUAGAGAGAGACAGCGGUAGACAUAGUAGUAGAACAAUUAAAAUUUAAAAGACCACUUUACAAAUUGCACCAAGUGGUCCUCUAAAAAAGAUCACCGACAGUUGCUUCACUUUACCUUCAUAUAUUUUAGAGCAAUGAUAUUUGAACAAUUAUUUAGUACAACAUUUUUUGACAAUCUUCUUUUUCUCUCUUUUUAUUGGUCAAAAAUAAUGAAGAGAAAAAAGAAGAGAUAGAGUAAAAAUAUAAUAUGAAUAUGAGAAAAAAAAUUGUCUAAAAAUUAUCACAAAAUGGUUGUACAAAUAUUAUUUCUCCAUAUUUUAGACACAGGCUAAUCAUUAAUUAAUUUGUGUAAAAAAAAACAAUAAUAUUAUUUUGACAACAUUAUUCAACACCUUAUCUUUCUUUCAAAAAACAUUAUUCAACACCUUAUGUUCAUAUUAUCAUUUGAUUUUCUUAAUUAUGUUUUACAUCAGUCACAUCAAGUGACAUUUUACACGCUUAUCAAUUUUUUUUGUCAAGUAGCCUAGUGUUUAGAACUCAUAUAAUUUAAUUGUGAAGAAAUGAAGUGUCAGAGAUUCGAACUCCAACCCCUGCAUAUAAUAUGCAAUAUCCCUACCAACUGAACUAAGCUCACGAAGAUCGCGGUUAUCAAUUUUUGUAGUUCAAAUAACAUCACUAAAAAAAGCUACGAGGCAGACGCACAAAUUUUCAUUGAGCAGUUGUGUUAAUUAAUUUUAUAACGCAAGGAAAAUGGUGAAGUUUUUGUGAAUAGAGAAAUGAUAUAUAUACAAUCAUUUUCAAACAACUUUUGUAAUAACUUUAUCUCUCAUUUUUAUAUUUUAUUUUUAUUUUUUUCUCUAUUAUUUUGGUUUUCGUUUAUGAUUUUUUGUAAGAAAAUGAUUGUCUAUGUAGUUAUCAAUCACAUUGAUGUUCAAAUAACAUUGCUUUUGUGAAUAAUGCAAAAUAGUUUCUCGGAACAAUCAAUUAUUCAAUUGAUAUUUACGAAAUUAGUUUUUGUAGGGUGUCCCUAUAAAUCACAUAUACUUUAAAACAGUCAUAUGUAUUCACGAUUCGAGAUCUUAUAAAAAAACCAUUCCAGAUCAUGUAUGAAAAUGAAAUAUAUAUUUUUUUUGACUGGUGUAUGAAAAUGAAAUAUUUUCAAAAAUAAAAUAUACUCUCUGCCCAUAUAAUGUCAGCGUAGGUGUCGGUGUUUUUCUACCGACUAUAAGAAAAACUGUAAAAUAAAUAAAACAAUAUAGUAAUUUAAAUUAGUGAUUGUAAAUUAUUGUCUUAAAUGUAUAGUUCAAUAUAAUAGAUUAAAAAUGAUGAAAAAAAUAUUAAUUUAAGAGUAGAAUUGAAAUAACAUAUAUGUUUUCGAUAGUUUAACUAAAUUGAUAAAGACAUUGCAUAAUAAUAUACAAGUGUUUUGAAAUUCCAUUUAUUCAUUACAUGUGAAUUUUUAGAUAUUAAACUAUUUGGAAAAUAAAAUAAAAUAUCAAAUAAUUAAGGUUUAAAUAUGUAAGUAGUCCCUGUAAUUUCGCGUAUUUUUGUUUUCGUUCCUGUAAGUUAUUUUGUUCUAAAACAAACUCUGUAUUUUGCUAACCUUUUGGAAAAGGUCCUUGCCGUCAGCUUCCGUCAACAAAAACGCCAUGGUGGCUAACGGAGCACACGUGGCAGUUCAUGAGUUGGCAAAGUUGAUGAGAUGGAAUGAGAGAUGAUAAGUUGUUAAAAUACAGGGACUAAAAUCAAAAACGUAAAUUGACACAGGGAUGAAAUUAAAAAAACGUUUAAUCUUCUUUUUCCUCUCAAAUUUCAGUCUUCUUCUUCCUCUCAAACUUUCCCCAAUCUAUCCCAUACCUUGCGCCCUUGAACCAAAACUCAUAUCCUUCAACAAUUUAUUCUAAUUCCAUUACUCAAUCAUAUUGUGUGUUUUGAUUGUAAUGUUAAGUUGAAACAUUGUAUGCUACUUAAGUUUGAUUAAUUUAGUGAUGGUUGUUGCGAUUGAUUGCAAAUUCAUUCAUAAAGUUUGUAGAUAAUAAAGGCAAGAAUACAUCUUUUUCAUCCCUCUUUUUUUUCCACAAUUCCCUCUUAUUCUUCCAGAUUGCUACAAUUACCAUACAUAAAUAGUCAGAUCCCCUUUCAUCUUUUCUCACUCACAUUCAAAUUCAAACUCUAAUUUCUCAAAUUUUUGCUUUUGAAUUGUGUAAUUUUGUGUUUUUAUGUAAUUGGUGUAGAGAGUUUAUGUUGUUUUAAUGUGUUGAUUAAGAGUGGGUCUUGUUGUUGUUGAUUGAUGAUUAUUAGUUUUGUUUAAAAAAAUAUAUAUGUUUGUUGUUUUCUUUCUUUUCCUGGGUUUGGUGUUGAUGAUUUAUGAAUAUGGUGAUGAAGAUGAAGAAGACAAUGAAGGAAGAAGAAGAAUAAGAUCUUGAUUUUAAAUUUGAAAUUUUGAUUUUACGUUUUUUAUUUUAGUCCCUGUGGUAAUUUACGCUUUUGAUUUUAGUCCCUGACUUUACACAACUAAUCAUCUCUCAUGCCAUCUCAUCAAAUGUGCCAAGUCAUGACCUGCCACCUGUGCUCCGUUAGCCACAAUGGCGUUUUUGUUGACAGAAGCUGAUGGUAAGGACCAUUUUCAAAAGGUCAAAAAGAUACAAGGUUUAUUUUAUAUAAAAAAAAAAACUUACAAGGACGAAAACAAAAAAUACGCGAACUUAGAGGAACCUUUUACAUAUUUAAGCCAAUAACUAAUAGCACUUAUUUUGGUACAUUUCUCUUUUGCAAAUGUGAAACUUAAUAUUGGAUGGGGUCAAUAAUUUUGAGAAUGAAUAAACCCAUUAUUUAGUCUUUUAAUUUUUUUUUUCCAUCCAUCAGGUUUCUAAACUAUUUACAAACACUAAAUGUCCUUAAGACAUAGCUCAAGUAACAAUAUUGAUAUUGAGAAGUUGGAUAUUUUCAUCCGAGUUUGAACUCGAAUUCUUGCAAUUACGAGUGUGAAUUUCAGGUAAUUUAUAUCAAUUUAUCUGUAAACAAAAGGAGAUAUAUACGCGUAACAAAUAGGUCUAAUGCAAAUUAACAACUUAUUUUUAGUUUAUAAAAUAUAUGAAAUUUAAUCCUUUAGUCCCUAGUAUAUUUUAACAAUGGGCACUAAAGCAACAUAUAUUUCAUAUAUUUUAAAUACUACUACAUCUUUCCUUAUGUAUAAGCUCAUUUGACAUUUUCACAUAUAUUAAAAAAGUUAGUAGUGUCUUGACAAAAAAGAAGCUCCUUAGAGUUUCCUUAUGUAUAUUUUUUUAAACCGAAAAAAUUGUGUACAAAAAAUGACUAUUAUUACUAAAAAAAAUCUUUUGCAUAUAGAUGUGUUCAACAUUUAUUUUGCAAUUCUCAAGACAAAUCAGUGGUACAUCUUAAUAAGUGAUAUAUUUGUUAGGAAAAAAAAUUACUAUAUGUAUCUAGUUAUUUGCAAGACUAAUGAUUCUUAGCAAAUAUGCUUAUAUUGAGAGAACUUUUUUCUAAAGAGAGCUUAUAAUUAGAGACUAAGAUUUUGCCAAAAAAUAAAGAAAAAUUAGAGAAUAAGGUUUAUACUAUACUUUAGAAACUAAUUUGAUGAGAUACGACUAAAUCGAAGAUAUAUUUUUUUAGAAUAGUGUUAGAACCUUAGAAAUUAUAAUCAAUAGAAAUAGAAAUGUUCCUUACAGAUCCAUAAUAGUGACAAUCUUGUCUUUUCUUUUGAGGAAAUAAUAAUAAAGGUGGUGCCAACAUUUCAACAAACCUAGCUAUUUUAAUUAUUCUGUUCUCACAGCCUGCACCUUAGAUCAAAUCCAAAUUGGGUCAUCACCGUUCCAAAAUGCUUAGGGACGUUACUCUAAAUGUCAAUAUGAAUGAGUAAUUCAAAUAGUUAACAUAGCCCGCCAGCCUUAUAUAAUAAUAUCAAUAUAUGUCGACUAAUUAUCGAGAUGCUAAAUUGGAGUACACUUCACAAACAAAAAUCUUUCAUAAGGCGUUUUUUCUCUUAAUACAUUUUUUCUUUUCUUAUGCUAGUAACAUUUACUCUGUAUUGGCCUUCCUAAGAAGAAGUUGGAUAGUAGCAAUGUGUUCGUGAGACUGCUGAUAUCUUAAAAGAAUGUUCUCAUAGAUUCCACUUUUUUAGUAAGCUUUUAUGUGUAUGAGUUUGCAAAUUUAACCCUUUUUAAUUCGGAUAGAUUUAUAAGUCACACCUUCAAGUACAAUCGACAAAAUUUCAGUAAUAAUUACGGUUUAGGGUUUAUGGGUCUAGAUCUACUAAAAAUGAGUGGGUGUAUAAAUUAGUAUAUCCUAGAGUUUAUUAUCUUACGUUCGAUCUUCUUUGCAGAAACUCGUGCAUGUUCGUGAUAUAUAUUUUCGCGAGAAGUACAUUUCCCUAAAACAAAAUCAACCACUGACAUAAACACGUCAAAUGUAAGCCGGUAAAUCCAAGCUUUACUAACACGAGUUAUAUUAUAUCAUUGGCAUCAGCUACUUAAGAACUACUGUAGAAAAUUUACAGCAAGUCAUCGAGGCUUAAUAAAAUGUGUUGAUAUAGUUACAAAGAUAAAUUAAAUAGCAGAGCAUACAUGAAGAGAACAAAUGUAGAGCAACCCCUUAAACAAACCCUCUCAGUAAGGUAUCUUCACAUUACUCUAAGUUCAUAAAAGAUGACUUUAAAAACGAUUAUUUCAAAAUGCAAGUAUUCUCCGACCCCUUUUUCCCGGAUCUAGAUCUAAUAGUGUAAGGAUAUAUAUAAAUCAUUGUCACAUUUUACAACUCAAGAGUUUACCUCAACUCGUUUUGUUUAGGUAAAUUCGACUCGAGAACUCGUAUGACUUUACCUAAAAUUAAAAUUAUAUAAAAUUUAUUAUAUAUGCAUGACAUAUGUAAGUUAAUAUAAUAUUGUAAAUAGGUCAAUAGUGCAAAAUAUGACUUAAUUACAAAGACAAAUUAUACCAUAAUAAAAUGUUAUGCUCAACUUAGCUUCAAAAUACAAAAAUUAACGCACAAAAUCAUAAGUCUCUAAGUUUAAGCCAUCCAUAAAACCAUCCAAAAAAAGAAAGUUUCACAAGUUCCUAAAGUUAUUAAUAAAACUAUCUAAAAAAUAAAGUAGUUAAUUUCUUCAAAACGUCAACAAACACCACCACAACAACCCUAACCAGUGUCACAAUCACCGGCGUUGAAAUAUGAAUUUCCACCGUCUGAAUCACAACCCUAAAUGGUAUGUGCUCCCCUGUUCAUGGUUUGAGAACUUAGAAAAGAAAAAGGGCAAUCCGGUGCACUAAAGCUCCCACAUACGCAGGGUCCGGGAAGGGGUCCCACCAUUUUUUGUGUAUUGUACGCAACCUUACCCUGUUUUUGAUCACAAAAGAAAAAGAAACGUUUCAUUUUAGGAACAACUUGUCACUGUAAAGGUAACUAUUAAUUAAACGUUUCAGUCUUUGGGGUUGUAGAAAAGGAAUUGGAUUUUGAAAAAAAUGGGCACAUAAAAAGGGCCAAUUUUUAGAUGUAAACUCGUAAAACUCAGUAAACUCGGUCGAGUUUACACGAGUUUACCUAGUGUUAACUCGGUCAAACUCGUUAAACCUUCCAAUUUUACCAGAAACCGAGUUUACCUCCGAAUUAACAUGAUUUUGGCACCUACGUAAACUCGAAGAGUUAACACUCAAUUUGCGGAACAUUGCAUAUAUAUUUAAAGAUAUAUGUAUAAUUAUAGAGAAAGUAGAGAAGGGAUAUACCAUUUUAUGUAGGGUUAUUAUGUAUCAAAUCAUAAAGAGUCGAGAGUUGUAUUAUACCAUAAUAUUCUUCCGUAAACUGGUAGUCAUGAUCAUGACGUAUAUUAUUCAAGUAUAUGCAAAAACAUGUCUGUAUCUAGUCUAAAUUUUUGACCAAAUGCAUGUAUUUGCUUAUAUUUUGUUACUACUUACUACUCGCCAAGUAAUGCUCAAUAUCUAAUAUAUAUAUUUCAAGACCAUCAAAGAUAACUCAGUUGAACAAUACAUAAUAUAUGCAAGGUUCGGGGUAUAUUACAUUUUCAAUUAUUCUAAUAAUAAAUUUAAAUGACACUUAAAUUAUACAACUAUUAAAUAGAUCUUAGUACCGUAAAAUUUAUAUUCGAGACUUGCUAGGGAGAACCAUCAACCUCAACAAAAAUUUCUACUUGAAUCUAACGCAAACAAAAGGUCCAACCAUCUAUGAAUCUCCGUUGAUAUCACAAAUGAUGUUUGAUACAAGAGAGACAUAUUAGAACAUAAUCUAUGUACAAUCUACAUUAAAAUAAAAAACAAGUCUACAGUCAUAUAAAUAACACAAUUUCAAAAUCUCAAAAUUAGGUAUGAAAACAAAAUGAUUAGAAAAAUAAAUGAUUCAAUCAUUCCGAGAUUUGUGCAAAAAAAAAAAAAAAAACAUUUUGAAAAUACAAUGUUAGAAACUUAUGAUCAAUAUAUAUUUUUCCUUACACAUCAAAAAUAAUUAAGCUAUAUUCUUGUCUUUUCAUUUUGGGCAAACUAAAAUUAAAAUCAAGGUAGUGUCAAUGUUUCUAUAGUCCUAGCUAUUUGAUUUUCUUCUAAGCUAACAAGAGUCUUCCAAAAUCAAAUUCGCGCUCAAAAUUAAAGCAACUUGGGUGGUAACCAUUCCAAAAUACUUAGGGCCACAUUGCUCUAAAAGUCAAUAAGAAUAAGUAAUAAUUCAAAGAUAGCCAACCUUAUAGUAUAUUUUAAUAUGAAUGUAUGCAUGUUUCCUAGAAGGUGAGUAAGCUAACUAAUCAAGAUACUUUGUUGGAGUUAAAUAUGGUAAAGAAUCCAACUAUAAAAUGGGGACUUGCCCCAGCAUUCUUUCACAAACCAAAACCAACUUCUAAGAAAAAAAUGAGGUCCCUAAUGGCCUCUGCUUCUCUCACUCUUGCAUUAGCCAUCCUCUUUUUGAGUUUCCCAUCUGAAAUUUCAGCAAACAAAUACGCAUAUUCCUCUCCACCACCACCACAUUACUCAUCUCCUCCACCUCCACCGGUUCACACUUACCCUAAACCAGUCUACCACUCUCCACCACCACCAGUUCACACCUACCCUAAACCAGUUUACCACUCUCCACCACCACCAGUUCACAAGUACCCUCACCCUAAACCAGUAUACCACUCUCCACCACCCCCAGUUCACAAGUACCCUCAUCCACACCCAGUCUACCAUUCUCCACCACCCCCAGUUCACAAGUACCCCCAUCCUCACCCAGUGUACCACUCUCCCCCACCACCACCACCAAAGAAGUCCUACAAAUACCCAUCUCCCCCACCACCACCAGUUCACACCUACCCUAAACCAGUCUACCACUCUCCUCCACCCCCAGUUCAUCACACCUACCCUAAACCAGUCUACCACUCUCCUCCACCCCCAGUUCACACCUACCCUCACCCUAAACCAGUCUACCACUCUCCACCACCCCCAGUUCACACUUACCCUAAACCAGUCUACCACUCCCCACCACCACCAGUUCACACCUACGUCCCUCACCCUAAGCCAGUCUACCACUCUCCACCACCACCAGUUCACACCUAUCCCCCACAUGUUCCCCACCCAGUUUACCAUUCUCCUCCUCCUCCAGUUCAUUCCCCACCUCCACCACACUAUUACUACAAAUCACCUCCUCCACCUUACCACAACUAGAUAGCCCAUAAUUGGCAUCACACCAUAUGGUAACUUUUCAUGCAACAUAUAUAUUAUAACUUUUCAUAUUCUCUCUUUAUUAACUAGUUAUCGGUAUGAUUGUCGAGUAUAUACUAACAAGGCUAAUUUGAAAUGAAACUUCAUGUGCAAUGAAACAUUCUUUUACUGGUUAAUAUUUUAUUCUAUGUUUCAUUGAAAUUAAUAUUUUUCUAAUAGUAUUUGGUUAUUAAGGGAUUAGAGUAUAUCAGACAUAAACUGACAGAUCAAUAUAUUUGCAUUUGUGUAGGAUCUAAAC